rnacentral:lncRNA from 1 species
AAAACAGUAGAUGGACAUAACCAAACAAGCCACACAUCAAGCAUCAUCAUCACCGUUCUAUAGAACACAAGAAUACUGCCUGCUGCCCUACUGGGAAGCACUCUCCUUUUCUUUCUCCUUCUCUUCUUCAGUCUUGGGGUGGUACCCAGGUAACUUCUCCUUGAUCUUCUCGAGUAGUCCCUUCUUCUCCUUGGCAUCUCCUUCAUGGGAAACUGCAGCUUCAGGGGAAACAUGUUCAGGAGCUGGAGGAGGGACCUCGUCAGCUUUCUUAUGUCCUGGCAAUUUCUCCUUGAUUUUGUCAAGGAAACCCUUCUUAUCCUCUGGUUCAUGGGGUGUCUCUGUAUGGACUACCUCGACAGGAACACUAGUAUCCUCGUGUUCCUUCUCCUCUCCUUUCUCUCCUGAUAUCUUCAUCUUCUCUUUCAAUGACCUCUUUUCCUUCUUCUUCUUCUUUUUCUCUUCAUCGUCACCUUCCUCCUCGUCGCUAGACUGCAUUUUUUAACACAUCAAAAAAUCUGUCAAUCUCAAGAAACACUUAACGGAAAAGACAACAAACAAAAUAAAUAAUGAGAUCGAUCCAUGGAUCGAGUUAGAAACUUACAGAGCUGGAAGAACUGCUGCCUGAUCGAUGGAGUUUCUCAAAGAGAGUAGGUUUCUUCUCCUCUUCCUCUUUUUUCUUGUGCUCUUCCUCUACUUUAGUCUCGGGUUCAGAAACCUGAAGUUUCUCUUCAAAUUCAGUACCAAUCACCUCCUCUUGAGGCUUCUCUUCUUCUUUCUUCCCCAGGAAAUCAAACAACCCGCGAUCCUUGGUCUCAACAGCACCACUCUCUUCACCAACUUUGGUCUCAUACUCAUGGCUCUUGUUUUCCUCAGCCAUACUGAUCAAAAUCACAAUAUGAACCUAAUCAAGAAAAGAUCAAAAUCACAACAGAGUAAUUAAAAUGAGUAAGCUUCUGCUUCGAGUGAUUUGCGCUUGUAACUGAUGGUUUGGGUUUGGGUUUGGGUUAGCAAGGGUGAUGGGCUUUUAUAGCUGGAAGCCAACGCGGAGCUGACGCGAUUAAGAAGUAAUAAAGCCAAGUGAGCUGGGCCAGUCAGGUUUCACUUCUGUAACCGACGUGUAAAUUUAAGUAAGGGAGGAAAUCAAAACGUAUUACUUCCGACAUGUAUAGAAUUAUAUGUACUCGCUUGAAUGAUUGGCUAGAUGUCUAGUAAUUAGAGAUGGAACUCAUGGGAGUGGUGGAGGCAUAAGCGUGUUCAAUACGCGGAGGAAUGUGUAAAGUAGCAGUCUGAAAGGAGGGAAGGAAGUAGAAAAGUUGAGAGGGGUACGCUGUAAUGUUCUGCAAAUGCCUUGGCGACACGUGGAACGAGAACGUGAAUGGCUGUCCUUGAGUGAGACCCGUGGUGUCGGCCUCGAUUGGAUAAAUAUGAAAGUGGGGGCGGUGUAUCUCGGGGCCACAGCAGAUUUUUUUUGUGUGUGUUGAGUGUGGGGUGGGAUUUUUUUUUUCUCAACGUAAAUAAAAUAUAGGUGCUGUAAACGUUUUUAUUAUUAUUAUUGAGAAAAAUUAUAAUGCAAGUUAAAAAGUUUAUAUUUGGGUUUAAUAAAAUAAACCAAUAAUUAUAUAUUAACAAAUGAUAAUAAAUCUAUUUGUUUUAAUUAAAUAUCCAGUUGAAAAGCUGAGGAAAAGAUGUUAUUUCUUGAAAACAAAUAUUGAAUAUUUGUUUCAUUUUAAAAUUAAAAUUUUUAAUUUUUAAUGGUUUUGAAUCAAUAAAAGUUCAAUUUUAUUUUGUUAGUAUUAACUCAAUGUUAAAAUUUAUAAUUGAUAUUGCAAUAACCCAAUUUAAAGUCAACUAGAAUAAACUAUGAAACCUACUUCUAGAUCAGGCUAAUAUGAGGGGAUCAAAUUAAAAAAAAAAAAAAUGAAACUAUCAAACUAAGAUGCGCCCUUAUAUGAUUUUUAUUCAUUUGAUUGUUAAAAAUAACAAUCAAAUGAAUAAAAAUCAAAUUUAACAUAUAUAUAUAAAAAAAACAACAUAGAGUUAAGCGCAAAACUCAACAAGAGACGGAAAAAAAAAGAAAAGAAAAAAAAAACCGGAGAGCCCUUGUCUCAAUGGGCCAUUAGAUAAGAAACUCCUCACCGUGAUGAUUUUGUUGGCACCAUGUAAGGGCGCAUCUCGAGCUUGGUAGUCGUUGCAAUUGUCGUCACAAUAUUGUGUCAUUUCUAAGUUAUUGGUGCAUGUGCUACAUAUGAUUAUUAUUUUUUUCAAGUUCGUUCAAUCUAGUCACUGGUUUCAAAAAAAAAAUGAUUGAACAUUUAUUUUAGAUUCAAAUUUGCCUUAUAAAGAUUCAUUUAUUUUAAAUGUGUCUAGUUGAUUAUCAACCGAGCAUUAAAAGUUUUUUUCAACAUGUCAAGAGCUCCAUGUAAAGUAAAGUAAAACAAAUUAUAAAACUGAAAAGCAAAUCAAUUUAUUGUGAAAAUGAUCAAAUUAAAAAAAUACGAGAGGGUGAGAUUAAAAAAAAGGCAAGAGUGAAAGAAAUAAACAGGAGAGGUGUUCGUUGUUCAAAUAAGCAGCAAAGCAACCUCAGAUAUUUUAUUGUUUUCUCUAGUAAUAUACAUGGAAUGGCUACUAAAUUUAAUUUUAGAAACGGAUUAUUUAUAUUAAGAUUAGAAGAUUUAUGGGAAAAUAUAUUCUUAUCACACAAAAUUAUCUAUUCGUUUAAUUCAUUUUGGUCUAGAACUAUUAACUUACUAAUUAGAUUAAUUAUUGGAUUACUGAGUUAUCAAGAGAUAUUGAAACAUAUAUUUUAUAAACAAAUUAGUAGAAGAAGUAAAGAAUGGCGGGCUUGGAUUUUAUAAAAUUAAUUAAAUUAACAUAUCAAUUUGUAUAGAUAUCUAGUAUUCAUGAUUUGAAAGAUCUACACGGGAGGAACUGGGAAUUCAAGGUUAUAGAAGCAGGGGGGUAUAUUAAGAUACAAAAAUCAUUUACACAUAAAAAUAUAUAUAUACAAUAAUUAUAGAUUUUAACUAAAAUAUACUAUUUUUUUUACUAAAAAGGACUUUUUAUAAAAAAUAAAAUUUAUAUAAAAUAACUAUUAAAUUUUGGUCAUCAUUUUAAACUUUCAGAGGGGUCAUGUGCACUGGGCCUCUUAUUCGGUAGCAUUUCUACCUCAGUGACCAGCAGAAUCACUUACAAACUAGUUAAUUGGCAGGGUUAGGGUAUAAAAAUCUAUCUUGACCUAUAAGAUCCGACUUUUUUGUAGCCUUGCCUUUUUUGGAUUACCUGCCUUAGUUGAUACCGUGGUAUUUUUUUAUAAUUAUAAUUUUUAAAAAUAAAUUUAUAAAUUAUAUUUUUUUAAUUAAAAUUUUAAAAAAUAUUUUCUAGUAAAAUCAAUAUAAAAUUAAAAUGUAUAUUAAUUAAUCAAGUAUUUUCAUAUGUAUAGUCUGGAGGUGGUUAAAAUCAUGGUAUAAAGUGUUUUUCAUAGUAUUUUUUUGUUUAAAAAUAUAUUAAAUAAUAUAUAUUUUUUAGUUUUAAAUGAAAAUAUAAUAAAAAAAUAUUAAUUUAAAAAAUUUAACUGCACAAAUCUGAAGACAAACCGCAAACCACGGAGCGUAAUCCAUUUUUUAAACAGUAAUUAUAAGAAUCCUAUGUAAGUAUUCAGGAUUUAACCGUACGAAGGGUCUGGGCGUCGUUCCUCGUCAUCGGAAAAAGUACCCCGAGUUGGGUGGGACCUGAGGGCGGUUUCGUCGGCAAGAAACUGAGGAAGGGAAGGGUAUCUCGAGAUUUGCGACUAGCAGGUUUGUGGUACGGUUCAUGUGUGGUGAGAGGCAAUAGUUUAAGGUGAUAAAUCGCUCUUUGACGUCGUGGAUGCGUUACUUGAGUGGACAGAUUGUCGGUUUAGUGUUGCCGAUGAUUGCAUUUCCAAGAUAUUUAUUUAUGAAUUACACACUAAUCCACUUUUUUUGUGGAGUGGUCUUUUGUGUUUGGCACAUGUCCACGUGUGAUUGCAAGUGACUGCUUCCAACCAUUCCAACUUCCAAUUGUUUAUUUAAUUAAAUUCACAUCAGCAUCAACUAUUUAUUAAAAUACCAUUAUUUUAAAAAGAUCUCAAUGCCAGCAGUUUUGGUAUUAUUUUUUUAACUUUGUUUGUGAAGUUAAAACCCCCCCCUGAAACCCAACUUUUAGAGCUCAGCUAUUGGAAGGAUUAUCUCUUUUAGGCUCCACUGAAUUAUACUUUUUCUAAGCCUAUUAAGUGUAUAAAGAUUCUUUAAUAAGCAUAUUAUAUUUCUAUUGAUAUUGACAUUAUAUAAGAAAUAGUAUGUAAUUUUUUUUAAACCUCCAUCAUAUUUUUAUCCAUUUAUAUGUGAGAGAUAUUUCUCAUCAACAUUAAUAUAUAUAUAUCAAUGAUAUUUUUUAUUUUUAAUAUUAUUAGAACAACAUUACAUUUUAGUCAUUUCUCUACACUGAAAGACUCGUAAGCUGUAAAUACAUCAUGAAUCAUUUAAAUAAAAUGUUCGGAAUCUUAAUUCUUUACUAAAUGUUUAUUUUUAUAAUAUCUAUUUGUAAUAUUAUUGUAUUUUCUUUUAAAAAAAUCACUAACUUAAUCAUUUGAGAGUUUUUAAAUUUACCAAAUAGAACCUCUUGUAAGUAUAAAACACCGGUCUUCAACUACCUUGGUUGUGAAGAAUAAAUUUGAUUGUCAUAACAAAAAAAAUUAACUAAUUAUCCUAGAAAUAAAUAAGUGUUGCCCCAGAUUAUUUGGAUUGUUCCAUCAUAAUUUGUGAAAGUGAUCUCAUUAAAAAAAUAUAUCAUGAUAUAUAAUCUUGAAUAAAAGAAGAAAAAUCCUUUCAAUUGGACCGAAACUUAAUUUCCAUUUAUGAGGGACUAAAUUAGAUCAAUCAUUAGUAUAGAGAUUAUCAACGUAAUUUUUUUAACUCGAAGACUAAUGGUACUUCGAUAUUGUGAGGGGGUCCUAUCCCAUGACGUUAGGAAUACGAAAAUAAAAAAAAGAAUGGACAGAAAAAUCAAAAGACGAUAAAGGCCGGUAGGAAUGGUCAGGGUCAUGGCUCACAGCUAUCGCUUGUAUUUCAGGCUGAAAAAACAUGGGGUCCUUUCCGUCGGAAAGCCAUCCAACUCAGGAUGCAUUAGAAUCAUCACUAGUUUUGUUUUGUACCCCCGUUCCAAGGCGGGGUGACUUUUUUUUUUCCAUAAAAAAAAAUAAUAUACAAGUUUUCUAGUGUAUUUUUGAAUUCUUUUUAAAAUUUAAAUUAGUAUUUAAAUAAAAAACAACUAAGAUUAAGAUGUUUAAUAUCAUAAUAUGAACCAUGUAUUUAGCCGUAUUUAACAACUAUAUUUCUUAAAAUAUUAUUUCCAUUCAGUGAAAAAUCAUUUGUGUCAAUAAAAAGUAAAAAAUAAAUACAACUUAGUAUUGAAUGAAGAAACUAAAAAAAAAAUCACAAACAAGCAAUGAAAAUAAAACGACCCGAGUCAACUUGCAUAUAUGCGGUAACCCCGCGAUCAUAGAUACAUGAUUUGGAUAACCCUAUAGGAAGAAAAGUGACAAGAAUAGCAUGAAGACCAAAUCUGAAAAAUUUAAAUGUUGAAAGAUAAAAUUAAAAAAAAUUGAUCUCGUAACACGAAACAUAUACUAAGUUGUGUUUAAUAAUUAUGUUUCUUAAAAUAUAUUUUUAUAUAAUGAAAUGAUUAUCUAUGCACGUAAAAGGUGAAAAAAAAGCACAAUUGAAAACGAAUUGAAUAAAAUCAUAAAGUUCAACUAUAAAACAAUCUAAUGUUGGUUAAUAAAACUAAAAAAAAUGACAAUUGAAAAAAAAAUAAAAAGUAAGAUUUAUAUCAACUCUCGUUAACCAGCCAAUCUCGUGAUCAUAAACACAUAAUUGAGAUAAUCACAUAGAAAGAAAAGUAAAUAAAAAAGCACGAAGACAGGUUCCUAAAAAAUUAAAUGUUGAAGAAAAAUUUUGAAUAAUUAUUUUUAAAAAAAGACAUAAUAAAAGUCAACUCGUGCUAACCUUUAAAACUUGUGACUUUGAUCACAAGAUAGGGACUUAAUGCUCAAAAAACAAAAAACAAUUCUUAAUAAAAAUAUGUAGAGGCAUGAAUUUUUUUUUUAAAAAAAUUAUUCUUAAAAAGCAAGGAAAAAUUGAGUAAACCAAGGUUAAUAUGCUAACCUCUUAACCAUAGAAACAAGAUUGAGAUAACCUCGUAAAAAAAGGUAAGAAAAAAAAGCUCGAAGACCAAGUUUUAAAAAUAAACAUUGAAGGAUAAAAUUGAAAAAAUAAAAAAUAUAUAUAAAAAAGACCAAAGUUAACCUUCAAAACUCGUGAUCAUGGUUAUGAGGCCGGGCUAACCACGUAGAAGAAAAAUCUAAAAAAAAAGAAGCAAGAUUCUUGGUAAAAAAAGAUUGAGGCAUGAAACUUAAAAAAAUAAAAAUAAAAAUAGCAACAAAAAUAACUUGAAUCAACCUGAGUUAACUCACUAACCCUGUGACCAUGGGCAUAGGAUUUGGAUAAUCUCAUAGAAAGAAAAGUAAAAAAAGAAGAAGCAUAAAGAUCAAUUCAAUAAAAAUAAAACAUUGAAUGAUGAAAUAAAAUAAAUUAAUUUUAUAAAAGGAUCUAAAAAAAACCAAAGUUAAUUCAUUUUAACUUUUAAAACUCGUGGCUUAUUAAAAAAAUGCCAAGGGAUGAGAUAUGAAAAAAAUAUAACAAAAAAAGAUCACAAACAAAAUAAAUACUAGUACAAAAAAAUAGGGGCGAAAUCUGACAUGAAAAAAAUUAAAAUCAAAUGAUAAAGGAUGAAAUUGAAAAAAUAAAUUUAUCAGUGAAAGAAUUUAAAAAUAUCAAAAAAACAACAAUCAAACUUGAUAUAAAAAAAGUAAUAAAUAAAUAAAUUGCAAUUAAAAAAAUAAAAACUAAAUUAAAUAUGAUAAGAUAUUCUUAUACUUUGACAAACCAUUUUAUUUUUUAUUAAUAUUUUAUAUAUGUGAAAGAUUAAAUUAUCCAUAAAUCAAUUUUAUUAUAACAAAAAAACCAAAAUAAAAAGGUGAAAAGCGAAUUGAAAAGAAGUUUUAUUCCUUGUCCCUCCUAUAGCAAAUGACUAAUCUGUGUUUAGAAAAUAAAAAUAUCUAAAAUGCCCUUGGUUGCAAGUUUUUUUUUUUUUUACAAGGCUAGAUAAAUCAUUUAACUCCUUGUAAUGAAAAUAAAAAAUCAAGUUCGUCUUUAAUCAACUUGAAAAUAACUAGUAUGUCUAUACGAGAAGGCCAAAUCACCUCUUAUUUGCCAGGUUGGUGUAUGUUUUUUUGAGGGUCAAAGUGAAAGUGAAAGUGAAAAAAACACUGUACUUUCCCCCACAUGAUUAGUUCUUUGAAUCACAUUGAUUAGAUCACACAAAAUUUUAUAGUCAAACCAUACAAAAAUAUAUAUUACAGUGCGAGUAUUUUUCCCCCCCGUUUGCUGCAAUAAUUUUCUUUAUUUGGUGAACUAUAGGAAAUUUUUAGAAAAAUUAACAAAAGAAUAAAGAAAAUGGCCUGGCCAGUUCGGGAAGCAGGUUCCGUUUCCACUGAACGAACUUCGGGAACGGCCCGAGCCAUAGUCAAGAAACGAGCUAGGCGAGCUUAAGACCGAUAUUUAAAAUUUUACGCCAGCCCAAGAGGCUUCAAAACCCAAGCGAGAAGGUAGAACACACAGCAGAAGUAUCAGGUAAGCACCUAAGAUAUCACCCACAUAAUUGAACUCUAUCAAUCCAAUUUAAAAUGGAAAGAGACUGAAAUACCAGUUGAAAUAAUGGGACAGAGCACAACGGAGAAUUUUCAAUUCUAUGUGAAGCAUCAAUCUCAAUUCCCUGCGUUUAGUAUGGAUCAAGCCUCUUUGAUGUAUGUGACAAGAGAUUCCCCCCCAGCACUAGACAAACCUUUACUUCCAACAUUUCCAUCAUCUUGUAGCUCACUAAGUUCAACUGCCGCCUGCUUCCUUGAAACCAAACCAUGAAGACAUAGAAAACAAGAAUCUGAUUCUUCCCCUUGGAAUUUGACCCUUAACAAUGACAGAUUCAAUUUCAUUUGACCUCGGAUUGAAAAAAAUAGAGAGGCUCCCAAAGGUCAGAUUAGAGGUGUCAUAUAAUUCGUUCAAAUCAUCAAUUUCCUUGAGGCCAUUAUUUGCUUUGUCAAUCACAGUUAAUGGCCUUCUGCUGGCCACUCUCAAUAUACUAGCUGCUUUCACCAUCCAACUGAGAAAAGCUCCAUGCAUUGUUGCUGGAUUCUGUUCGCUGGUUGCCUCUCUUGCAAAGAAAACUCUUCCAUCCCCCAAACUCCCAGCAAGAAUCAUAACCGUCUCCUGAAGACCCUUCUGCAACAUGAGAAUAAGAUCCACUGCAACAUGAGAAUAAGAUCCAUAUGUCAAGCAAUCUUUUCCCCCAACGAGUAUUGAACUGGAUCUGGAACAAAAAUUCCUUUUGGAUGGAAAAUACCACGCAAUAUGACUAGGACCCUUUUCACAGGCUCCACUGGAGACAUAGUCUCAAACUUGACGGCAGCAUCCCCAGAAACUAGAGCAAUUAGAAGAGCACCCCCUGAAACAGAAGAACAGCUAUUAAACAGAAAAAACUCGCCUCUCAUGCUUGAAUUUCUGUCAAAUGACCAAAUGUAUCAGUUUUUCCUGCCCAAAAUUAUAGGGAAACAACAAUGCCACCUUAUUUAGCAACCCAUAUCCUAGUCUGAGAAUGACAUCUUUCUUUCUUUGUGGAAGCUCACGGACAAAUUCAAUGGAUCCCUUCUUAAGCACACCCAACAGGACUGCAAAGCACCAUAUCCCCAAGAAACUCCUGUCUAUUGGCAUAUACAAUAACCCCAUCAAUUCCACACCCUAUACUCUCCAGAGUCCUCUCAUAGAAAAUCGGGCGGUCCUUUGCAAGCUCUCUAACAAAAGUAACAUUACCUCCUGGAAUAAAACAAUGUUCACCCCCCAUUUCACAAGGAUCAUCCUGAUCCCAGUACGCCAUAGACAAAUAGACAUUCAAGAAGCAUUUGCAUAUUCCGAAUUUGCAAGAUGCCAAUUCAACAACAUUAGCUCUUGUGGAUCCUCAGCCACCUUAUACACAUGCGUAAAAGCUUCAAGCGCAUUUCCUAGAUUAACAUGUACAGAUUUAACUUCCUCAAUUAUAGCCUGUCUAAGCUUACAAACUCUAUCUAAAAAGUUACUAAAAGAAGCCUCUAUCCUAGAAUCAAUCUCGGAGACAAAUAUCUCUCACCUUAUGUAGGUGCAACCCCAUUUUCCUUGCAAGAACUCCAUGUGGAUUCCCAUUUAUUCCAGUAAGAACACUCGCUCCAACAUCCGCCACAGCCACCACUCCUUCACCCUUCCUUUUCAUUGUCUUUACACGCCCACCUGGCCGCGCAUUCCCUUCCAAAACAAAAAAUUUAAAGCCCAUAGCCAUUGACUGUCUGGCUGCAACCAACCCGGCGAGUCCCGCGCCAACAACAACCGCAUUAGCUCUUCUACUCCGUCGUUUAAUUUCACCUGCGCUUCUUCAAUAGCCCGCGCCAUGCCAAAGUUAAUGUUGCCAUGUUGUCGCAGAAAAUUAUAAGCAGAAUCCACAACUGCUUUGAGCUCAGCCCAAAUAGACUCAAGCGCAUGCCCACGAGUUAACCAAGCAGAGAUAUAAGAUCUCCAACGAGUAAGAAUAUGGUUUCUCACCGCAAUAUAAUUAGCUUGCUCUCUGCCCCCAAUCAUAGACACUACAUUAGCUUCAGUUUCUUCUUUGGUUAGCGAAUCGACAGGAAAACCGACGGAGAUUGCUAUUAAUGCCUCGACAUCGACUUCUUUUGAAAGGCCGGCGCCAAUUCUGUGGAGGCAGAAGGAAGGAUUGCCGAAGAUUUCGGUGAAUAAGCGUUUUCUACAGCGUCGUAUUUGGUUAGUAGAGCAGGGAAUGUGGAGCUAGGGUUUCGGGUUGCUGGAUGGGGUCAGAAGAGUCGUCCUGGGAGUCUGAAACUGGAGCUUCGAGUGUUGUAUUGGGAAAUGAAGAGUGCGUUUCUGAUGAAGGUGGAAGGUUGUUUUCCGGUGAGCUUUGGUGGUCCUUGAGGUCGGGUUUUUGGCGAGGAGUCGUAGGAGACGACAUGGUGUGCGUUAUCGGAGGGGUCUUGAGGAGGCUCGGCGGUUUUUUCCAUCUAGCUUAUGGUGUCUUAUUAGUGCACUGCGCUUUUUUUAAACUUUGCCUGGAAGUCAAAGGAUCCUAAGCUGGGCUUCUUGACAGAACAGGCCCAUUUAUUUUUUAAUUUUCGCUAUUUAUUUAUUUUCUUAAUGCUAAUCACUACUAAAAGAAAGAAAGAAAAUUCCUGGACCAUAUCUUUGUAAGAUCUAUUAUUAGAUUUUAUAUACUAUAUAUAUAUUUUUUAAAAAUCUUUAAUAUACUAUGUGAGUAGUUUAAAUAUUAACUCAUUAUUACAUGAAGGAGAGAAUCUUGUUUAUCGACUUAAAUCAAAUAAUUAAAAUGUUAAAAAUAUAAUAUUUAAAUAUAAAUAACAAAAUAAAAGAUCAAUUAAAAUUAAUAGUAAGAAUAAUUUAAAUAAAAAAUACAGAACAUGAAAUACAAAUUUAUAAAACAAAAUAUAAAAAAUUGAACAUAUUCCGAACAAUCCAAAAACACAUGGAACGAAAUUGGAAAAAAGUUAUCAUCAUUUUUUUUUGAAAAAAUUGUAUUAAUCAGAAAAUAAAAGGAAUGAGUUAUGAAAACUAUAAUAUUUAAAUAUUUUAAAAAUUUAUGUCUAAUAAAUCUUAAAAAAAGGCGGUCAAGGAGUGAGGAAGAAGUCAAGGCAUGGAAAUCAUCAGACCCUUAGAAAUAUACCAUAACCUUUAAAUUUUAAAAAUAACAAAAGAAUUAUCAAUAUUAAUUCCCAGCAAAGUUACUAAUUUCUUCUAAAAAAGAAAAGUAAAAACAAAAAUCUCUAAUUCAGUACAGCCCAUCGAGCGGAAGCCCAUUUGCACAUAUUGAGCCCAAACAAUAGAGAAUUUUUAUAGGGACAGAGGCACGCAACUAACCCGAGCCAGACCGAAAAAUCGAACCUCCCAACCUCCACGCUCUUUCUUUGGUUCCGUAAGGGUCUCCAUUGCUGUCUCCUCCUCGAGCUCGAAGAGGAAAUAAAAGAGAGGGAGAUAGAGGCGAAGAGACAAACGAUAAAGAUGAUAACGCGAUCGAAUUUGGCAGACCAGUUAAGAGAGUAUCAGAUUCGAUCCAAGCAUGAUUGGGCCUCUGUCUCCUUCUUUUCUUCCGCUUCUAAUAUCAGCUCUUCAAGGUACGUGCCUUUGGCGUAUCCCUUCUUAAACUUUUCAAUUUCAAAGGUUUUUCAUUUCUUGAUUGUUAGUUUGAUUGUUAGAUCUCCGUUCUUAAAGUGUUGUGAUUGCAAAGAAAUUAUAGUUUGUUCAGGUUAGAUCAGCUAUGGUUUGGAUUCUUUUUGACGGGUUGUGGGUUUUUCUUAAGGAAUUUUGAAAAUGAAAGCUAAAAUUGAAGCUUCAGAGGAUUUUUUUUAAUUAAUUGAAUCGGUUUUUAUAUAUAUAUAUAUAUAUAUAUAUAUAUAUAUAUAUAUAUAUAUAAGUGGAACCCCCCCGGGGUCAGCUUGAACAUCAGGGAACUUCAUUACCAGAUGAAGAAGCAUGCUUGCUUGUGUAUGAGAAAAUUUGAGGUGAUUAAGAAAAAAAGGAAGGAAACUAGUUGUUUAGAUAAAUCUAAACGGGUUCCUGAAAGAUAGAAUUUGGAAAUGAUCUAUUCUCGAGCAUUUUUGUAUGGAGUGUCUAUCGUUGAGGUGCGAACAUGCAGUUUAGUUGUAGCAGGUUGAAGCCAUUAUUACAUCUAGCAAAUUAACUAUGUAUAUUUGAGCAAAAUGUGAAGAGAGAGAAAUGUAUAGUGGGUUUAGAGGCUUGAACACUUGAACUCUCGAGGAAUGAUUAUAGCUGUUUGAUAGAUGCUGGUGUUGUAUCACUUGCAGGAAAAGAAACACUUUUUACCGGUUACUAGAUGAUUUCGAUCAUAUGCAAGCCAAUUAUCACACAUUAAGAGCAUGUUUGGAUGUGUGAAAUUUCUGUGAAUCUUUUGUUGGAGUAGCAUUUAUGAGUAAAUCCUCUUUUAUGCAGCUUUUUUUUUCAAUUUCAUGCUCUGAAUGGGGGCAGCAAGUAUCCGUAGCACCUAAAGGUCGUAAUUUUCCUAUUACAGCUGCUUCCCAUAUGCAAAGCAAAGAUGCAAAAUGAGCCGGAGAUAAAAUGCUUUUAAGAUAUAUCCUUGUUAAUUUCUUGUAGACAAAACUCUGAUAUUAAUUCACCAAGAACAUGGAUGUCCACACUCCACAAAGGACAAUAAAAAUAAAGUUGAAAUGAAAACAUAUUGUGAGCAUAGGAAUAGCUUAUGAAGGUGAUAAAUAGUGAGGAUUAAAACAGAAUAUGAUCCAUUUUCUUAGGAAAGAUGUCAGUUUGGUGCUAGGGAACUUCUGACUUUUGCCUGCAAUUUCAUGCACGUGAUUUUUGGGAUGAGAAGCUGAGCUCUAAAUUUGGAUCGAAUGAGGCAUUGGGUGUUGUUGUUCAGGGAAAGAUAAUGGAAUUGAGUUCUGUAGCUGAUCAUUGAUACUCUAUUUGAUUGGGUGUUGAAGGGAACUUGGGGGAUUGAAAAGGUUGUUUAUAGUGAGAUUUAACAUAGGAUACAGUUUUGUCACAUUUCGAUCAUUUUUGAUGUUAGUAGUUUCCUGUUGGAACUUUUGAAAAGGCAAAAGCAGUCCGGAGAUAAACUAGUGUAGAUACCAGAUUAACUCAAUUGUUUGUGACUUGUGUAAGUCGGAGAUAAUAAUUCAAUUGAUAAUGUUUGGGACAUUUGCCUGAUAAAUGCGAUUCAGUUAUUUUUACUUUUGUACACAGUGGUUGGGUGGUUGCAGAGCUAAACUAAAACUGAGGGUGGAUUUAUUUUCCUGCCCUGCAUAGAUUUGGAUAUUUCAUGUUGCUGGUGACAUUUCCUGGCAAUUCAUUUUAUCAAAUAUUUACUUUUAAUGAGUGAAAGUUUCUCAUGCUUGGUUAUCAUAGCUUAGAGAAUACUGAUACUCAACUCAUCUACAAUAGUCCCUGCAGUGUUAUUGUCCCUGAAUCAAUCUUUCUUUGUAUCAUCUAAGAUGGCAUCGAUUCUGACUUUGUUUCUUCUCUUUGUCCUGUGUAUGCUUGCAGGGUGGACGUUGUGGUGUUUGUAAUAUGGGAACUUUUUAUCAUAGCAUUCUUGGUUUUCUCUGCAGUUUCUUUAUAUUUUAGGCAUAUGCGACUUGCGUUUAUCCUAGUAUGCAUCACUUUGCUAUUGCUUAUAUGCAUGAAAGUUACAAAGCAAGUUCGAUUGGCUAGGAAAAAGAAGCGAAGGAUGCUUCUUCCUUUAUCUAUGUAAACUUUACUAGCAGCGAGCCUUUUCCUAAACCAACACAACUUUGUUGUGUAGAUUGAUACAAUUUCUGACCUUUGCAUUGAUCCUUUUCCCCCUGCUUUAUUGCAAUGUUUAAUUGUAUACCCAAAGCAAGUUGAUCAAGGGAUAUGGUGAGGUGAUCAAUAAAAUGGAUGCUAAUUGAAUUGGAGAUUUCUCAUCACUUGGAAUGGAAGAUUGAGAUGGUUUUGUUUGAGGCGGUGAGCUAGUGACAGACAUCAAAUGUGGGUUGGGUGGGUGCUGGUGUUAGAAAGGUAUUGUUUCUUUUUUGCUACAUGCUUGUAGCAUGGAUAGCCGCUUUAAGAAGCUUUAGCCAGGCUUGAUUUAUGAGACCAAUGUUUUUAAUAUGUAUGGGAUACGAUUUUUGUUUUUGCUGGUAUACAUCCCUAAUGUAAAGGAACGAGUUGGUGUUGAGAAUUUCGGAGACUGUCUUUCUCAUAGUUCCGAUAAACAAUUACCCUCUGCAUCUGCAUGACUCUGUACAAGCCCUGACAGAAUUAUUUUUUCUGGAAUUUGGUGUGAUAUAUAUAUAUAUAUAUAUAUAUAUAUAUAUAUAUAUAUCAACUAUAGUAUCAGAUGUUACAUGCCAAUAUCAAGAGUAAAGAUUCAGACACUACAAACUAAGCUGGUGCGAGGGGAGAGAUUCUUCAAGCAGUGGCUGUGCUUGUCUCUCCGAAGGCAUUUUAUCCAACGAAGAUCGGAUUUAUAGCUUGGUUUUAUAUCAACCCUAGAUGCAGUGCCGACUGCCAAGGGUCGUCAAUUUUGUUAGGACCCUGCUUACCGAGGCUUGAAGAAGUGAAUUUCGAUCCCAAGUCACAGCAGUCCAUAUUGCUCCAGCUACCACUAGUAUGCUAAGCACCAUCCCCGAGACUCCCAGUAUCCAAUUAAGGCACCAAAUUGCACCAUAUUUUGUGGGGUUUUUAAUCAUUAUCCACUUGAAACUUGGAUAUGCUAUGGUAAUUGGAAGUGCAAUCCCUCCAAUCAAUCCUGCCAAACUAGUCAAGGAAGGAAGUGCCACGGAUGUAAAGAAUGCCAAGCAUCCAAAGAAGAUCUGAACACUGUUCGCAACCACCGUGGACAUGGUUUCUUGAUUUUGCCCGUAUAUCUGAUCUCCAAAUUGUCAAAUACUGGCAUUGCAUAUAUCUGAAACGAGCUGAGGCAGCUAAUGACAACGAAUAGGCUUGUUAAUCCUAGUAGCGACUUAGAGGUUUCAUGUCCGUGAUAUUCCUAUCGAGCAUUCCUCUGUUUGGCACCUGCUCAUUAGAAGCAGAACACAACAUGUUAUUGUUUCAAAAACGAGGCAAGGCAACAUUUUUCAUAGUCCUUGUGUUGUCGAGGCCUUAGUUUAUCCUCGAGAGACCAUUAAAUAUUUGUGCUUACCAAGUUACCAAAGCCCAAUACCCCCCUAUUGCACGAGGAAACAAGCACAUUGCCGUGAUCAAAUAUGCCAACUUUACCCCUCUCCGCAACGGGACGGUUGCUUUGCGCUGGAAGGCACAGUCCCCUGAAACAUUCAGCACAAAAAUCAUAUGACCAGAUCCAAUGCAAGUUCAAAGGAAAAAAGCAAAAGCGAUUGAUGUAUAGACUGUCUUAUCUUCGACCUGUUUCACGACCAAAAACUAGUAUUUAUAUAGUUAAUGACAAGAUCAUUUAUAAGAGAAGUUCUUUAUGCAUCAGAAAAUGCAUGCAAGCUGAAUAAACUACAAGGUACUUGUUAAUAAAAUUGAAAUUUGAAGCGUAUGUGAUUAAGAUGGACUGAUAUCUGGCACGAAGAUGAUAUAUACAGGCAUGAUGAUGCUCACCGAAAGCAGCCAUCGAUGGUCGGAGGUAUCUGCCAUAACCCAUCUCGGACUCCGAUUCGUUUAGCUGAAUCAAUAGUCAUAGAGUGUAUAGCUGCCACAUAAAAACUCGAGAUAGACAUAGAAUUCCCCAAGUCCUGCAGCCAAAUUGAAAAAAAGAAAAACUAAAAAUUAUAUUUACAAAAGCUAAACAAUUUUAUUAAUUAAAAUAAAUUAAUUUUCACAGUUUUUGCUUCCUUGUUUAUUUAGCUACAUAAUUUAAAAAAUAAAAGAGGUAUUCUAAGAGAAAUCUUUACAGGAUCAGAAUAAAAAGAUUCAAUCAAUACGAAAAGGAGUAAAAAAGAUUCCAAGAGAAAAUGCUCUCCAUUUAUACUUACAACAUGAGAUUGAUAAACUUGUUAUGUUUUUAAUUUCCUUUUUAAUUUUAUCUUCUCUUCUUUUGUAGUUCGUACAAAGUAACCUGGAAAACAUCCCCCACCAUAAUAUUCAUUCAAACAAAUUAUACUCGGUGAGGGCAACAUGCAAGACAUCUGAAAUCUAUGUAGAGGGUAUAAACAGAUCUAGAAAAUAAGAGUUCAUUCUAUACAAUAAAUGACACAUGGGUUCAUUCAUAUUAGAGUUAAUACCAACUUCAUCAUUAAAUUGUGGUUCCCAUGACCUUAAAUGCUGUAAUUCGUGCAAUCCCUCAAUCUAAUGUCUUGAAAGAAUUAUUUAGAAACAAUAAUAUAAAUCAUAUCUUGAAAUUUUAUCUAACAGUUUAAUUUUUUAGAUUGAAUUGAUUUUUUUUAAUAUAUAAUAUCAGAACAUUAAUGAUCAAGUGGUCACGAGUUUAAAUCUCAUUAUCUUUAUUUAUUUGAUAAAAAUUAAAUACGAGGUAAUAUAAACAUGUAUAAAUUUCAAGUUCAAAUAACUUUCACUUGAAGAGAUAUCUUAGAAAAUAGAGUUCUGCUUUCAUUGUAAAAAACAAAAUCAUUUUUAGUCUUGUUUUUAAAAGUAAAACACCCUAUAACAUCAAUAAAUUCAUAAAUAAUUUUGAAACAAAUUUGAAUUGGUUAAAAUUUAAAAAUAAAAUCUACAUUUGAUUUACUUUUUAUAACAACAUGAGGGGUUAAAAACAUCUAAAUUAAAAUCUUUCAUCGAAUGGAAUUCAUAAAUACCAACAUCAAUUGUUUUAGUUGUUAAAAUGUAAUCAGUAACUCUCUUUGUUCUCCCUAAACUCGGGGACUGAAACUUCAAUAAAAUAAAAUUUUGAAUCAAAAUGUAAAAGUCAAAAACCAAAAGGAUCAAGACUUUAAACAAAACAACUUUAGGGAUUGAAUUUUUAAAAAACAUACCUUAAAAAAUAAUAAAGGCUACUUUUUUUGUUCACUAUCAAGUUUAGUCCUCAGAGUUUAAAGCUAUUUUUUACAACAAAAUUGAAUCUUAUCUUGUUAAAUUAAGUAUCACUUUAAUGCUAUAAAGAUUUUUUUUGAUACCACAAUAAAUUCAUAAAAAGCUAAUUAAAAUGAAUCAUUACCUAAGAUUCGAAUCAGGAAAAUAUUUUAGGAUAAAAUUUAAAAAAAAAUCUUGUAAUCAAAAUAAAAAAUAUUAGUAUGAAAAUAAACCAAAACGUUGCUCCAAUUCAUCCACGGUAAUUUCUUCUUGAUACACGGUGUGGCAACAGGAAAAUCAACACACCAUUUAGCUUUUUCUUUCAUUUGUCUCUUUACAUACUUAUAUCCUAUUUUUACACAACAGGAAAAUCAAUGGACAUAUAAAUCAUUCAGUUACAGACUACCCAAUGACACAGUCUGGAGCUUGUAUACCCUGAACUUGUAUUUAAUCCAAUUACAUUAAAACAAGAAAGGAUCACAACUCUUAUUAAGCACAUAAACAUACGGACGAAGUCUUAUCAGAGCUCAAGAACAGCUAUAUAAACACGAACAUUAUAAUUGACCAUAUGUACGCCUGCUCUUCCUAUGAUCUUGCUUGCAUAAGCCUAAACCAUUCAGAGCUUGGAGGUUGCGAGCUUGAUAAGAUCCUUUCGGAGAAUCUUGCCAGACGGAUUCUUAGGUAUGGCAGCAACGUAUGCGACUCUCCGAAUUCUUUUGUAUGGCGCCACCUAUAUAAAUAGCAGCUUCGUAAUUAGAAAAAAUGAGACCUGAUUUGUGCAAAACCAUGUGAUAAAAAAGAACUGAUUUGAGAACACACCUGUCCUGCUAUGAAAUCCAUGACAGCUUUCUCGGAUAAUUUACUUCCAGCUUUUCUUACCACGUAAGCCAUGGGGAACUGCCCGACCUGCUCGUCAGGAAACCUGAUACAGUAUCACAUAUAAUGCAAGGUUAGAUUGAAUUCCCAAGUUCAUUUCUACCAGGAGGUAAGAACUUCUUACGGUAUUACAGCAGCAUCAGAAAUCUCUGGGUGAGUUAGUAGCAAUGCCUCUAGUUCUGCCGGAGGGACCUACCAUGUCAACAGACAACCAUUAAAGCAUGCCCAUCAUUUUACAUUUCCAAGAGAAAAGACAAAAAAAAAAAGUGUUAAGUGUUCUAAAUUUCCGCGUUUAAGAAUUUACUUCAUGAUUAAUACUUGUCGCUUUAAAGAAAUCUGCAUGAAAUGAUAAAAUGAAUCUUCCAUUCACCUGAUAACCCUUGUAUUUAAUCAGCUCCUUUAACCGAUCAACCACGAAAAUGAAGCCAUCAUCAUCAAUGUAGCAGAGAUCUCCUGUUCUUAACCAUCCCUCUGAAUCGAUAGUUGAUGAAGUAGCUUCAGCGUUACUAAAGUAACCUGAAAAAAGCCCCCACCACAAUAGGUGAUCAAACAAAUUAUACUCGAUGAGGGCAACAUGCAAGACAUCUGAAAUCUAUGCAAAAUCAACAUCGAAAUUAGGUCACAUUGUGAUUUCAUGAAGGUCAGCACGUUCCAUAAAGGGGAAAACAUUGGAAUUUAAGCUUCUCUGGAACAUAGAGCAUACCAUCAUGUUAUCACCAAAUUAAAGACUACAUCAUUAUAUCAUGUGAUGACAAAGACCACUCGCUGCAUCUACAACAAGAAGUCUUCAUGAAACGAUGGAUUAAAGUGGUACCCUAACUUUCAGGUCCACUCGCACAGGCAUUAAAAAGAGGAAUGAUUUGCCGCAGCGCAGCUAAAAAAGAGGUUAAGAAACUGGUGGGGCAAAGGUAGUGCACUUCUUAAUAAAUAAAUAAAUUUGCCUUUCCUUUUGAGAUAUAAAAGUUACCGACAGAUCUGGAAAACAAUAAUUUAUAACAGAUUGGACCUGCCAUUUUAAAAUUUAAAGUGCAGAACAUGAAUAACUCAUCUUUCUUUCACCACUUCUCAUCGAAUACAAUGAUGGCACGGGAGGAUUAGUGAACCAAGCUCCUCAUUCUAUACAAUACAAAUUGCCCCACACCACGUAUACUUUUGGACAUAGGAGUAAAACCCGGUUCAGCUGGUGGGUUGAUCCAGAACCUGGUCGACCUGAGACCUUAACUAGGUUUUUCACAUGUGAAAAUUAGAGUUGUAUUUGUCUCGGAUAAACUCGCGGGCGAGGCCCGACAUAUAUAAUUUAUUUUCAUGAACAAAACGAUGUUGUUUUGCUUUAGGGAUUGAAAUGCCGACCUCCCCUUCUUCUUCCUCUGUUCUUCAUUUCUUCUUCCUUUUAUUCCAGAGCCGUUUACAAUUUUGAGAAAAAAUUGAAAAACUCACUCCAACUCUCGCUCCCUCUGUUUUUCAUUUCUUUCCGACACUACAACUUCAAAAGUUCAUUGUUUCCUAUUAUAGGUAAUUUAUUCUUCCCCGUUGUUGCUAAGUUGUCUUCUUCUUUUUUUUGUUAAUUGUAUGUUCGGGUCAGCUUGUACGUACCUCGAUUAAUCUUUCAAGAUCUUGAAGUUAAUGAUUAUAUAAGCCUUUAAAGACCUUGAAGUUUACGACACUCGAACUGGUAACCUCUGGGGAGCAAACUCAGGGUUGUUACACCUCUCAAGGUUGUUGUUACCAAUUCUUACUAUCCUGUAAGCUAACAUGCUCUGGUAUUUACCAUAAGAAGUUUUUACAAAGAUUACCAUGGCAAAUGGUGACAUUGUUUUUUUUUUUUUUAUUUGCAGAUAUUUGAGCGGCGAGAACAAGUUCACGAGUUCAAGGAAAAGUCUAGUAGUUGACAUUUAUAGUCGAGGUUUGAUUAUCGUUGAAGAUUAUCAUUUUCAACGAUUAUAAAUUGUGGUAUGAUAGCCUAAUUGUGUUCUUGAAACAACUUAUAGAUGUGUUGGUAUUUUCUUUCCAGCAAAAACAUGUCUAUAACUCAUGUUGCUUUAUUACGCGCCAUUGUCAAUUUCAAUCGUGCAUCGGUAUCAUGCCUUCUCUAUAACUGGAUAGCUAGAGCUUGUAGAUGCGUGUAAAUUGGCAUGAAUAUCCACGUUAAACUAAAAAAAAAAAAUUGUAAAAGAUUUCCUUGAUGCUAUUUUAGAAUUCCCAUUUGUUAAAAAAAAAAGCAACGAUUGGCUACUUCCAAAAAGGGACAUGAUUGUAACUAUAAACAUGACACUUAUUCAAAUUUUGUUUAUUUGGACAUAGAAGAGCUUAACAUGUUUAUCGUACAAAAGUGAAAGCGUUAACUAGGUGUUGUAUUAGUUUUCAAUGUGUUUUUAUAUCAAAUAUGAAUUAUAAUAUUAUAAAAUCUUGAACUUUUUGGUAUAAAAAAUAUUAUUUAUAAUGAAAUAUCUAUCAAAAUAUAAAAUAUAAAAUUAUAAUUAGUUAAUUGUUUUUGCCCUUUGAUUUGUAGUUUGCUUAGUUGUUUUUGUCAAAAUGUGCUGAAUUAAUUGUUUUUGUUAGCAAGCAGUGUUUGUCAAUUAAUUGCUUUUGUUUAAAAGUUGUUUUUUUUUUUUUUUGUUAAGUUAAAUUUUUUACCAAAGUGGAUUCGUGAAAUAUAUUUGCAUUAUUUUUUUGACAAGGUCCUUAGGUCAAUUUCUAAUUCUAUCAUCGGAAGAAAUAAAUGACACGUGCAAUUAUAAUAUUCUAGCACGACAAAAACGACCAAACAAAAAAAAACAAAAAACAGAAAAAGAAAGCAUCAUACAGCCUACCUUUCAUGACAGAAGGAGCUCGAAGCCAAAGCUCACCGGUCUGGUUCACCAGCAAAGCGUUACCACUCUCCGGGUCCACAAUCUUGGCCUCCGUGUUUGGCGACAAUAGCCCUGCCGUGCCAUACCUCCUACUCUCCUCCAACGUAUCCGUCGAAGCACCAAUCCCCGCCGAUUCAGUGAGCCCAUAACCUUGUAAAAUCGUAACCCCUGGAUACUUCUCCGAAAACCCUUCAACCAUUUCCUUACUCAAUGGAGCUCCGCCUGAUAAAACAAAAUUCAACGAACUCAAAUCAUACCUCUCCCGUAACUGAUCAGCCCCGUUGAUCAGCGCUACUAGUAUCGGCGGCACGAGUGGUAAAUAAGUGGCCCGGUAUUUCACAAUCGUCGAUAACAUCUCCCCCAUUUCGAAUUUUGAGAGAACGAUGACCGUUGACCCUGCUGCCAGAAUUCCUGUGGCAAACGCUGCUAAACCGUAGAUGUGAAACAUCGGGACCGUACAGAUAAAUUUGUGAUCUCCUUCGUUUAAUCUGAACCGUUCAACAAUCGUUUGUACCAUAGCGAUUAAGUUCUUGUGUGAGGACACCACACCUUUGCUUUCUCCUGUUGUGCCUGAAGAGUAGAGUAGCGUCGCUGUGUCAUCCUGGUUGACUUGCUCUCUAACUCGGAUCCCACUUGGUUCUUUUUUUACCAUUUCACUUAAUGUUGUCACAAUUUUGGCGUUUGUUUUAGUGGAGGCAUCAGUGAUCCCAUCGUCUAUGAGGAUGAUGGUGAGGUUUGAGUUUGACUCGGUGAGUUUGGCAAGGAGUUCAGGAGUAGUGAAAGCGAGUGAAGGUUUCGAGUUGGCAAUUUGUUUAGCGAUUUCACGAGGAGUGUUGAGAGGAUUAGUGGUGGUAAUUACAGCGCCUAAAGACAUGACGGAGAGGCAAACGAUGGGGAAGAAGAUGGAGUUCGGAGAAAGUAAGAGGAUGACGUGGCCUUUGCGGAUUCCCAUGUCGUAGAGACAAGUGGAAACGGAAUCUACUGCUUUCCAUAGGUCUUUGAAGGAGAGGUGGCGGCCGGUAGCUGCGUCGAUGAAGGCUGUUUUGCCGUGGUGAGGACGGGAGGAGAUGAAGGUGGUGACGUCUAGGAAGUCAGUUAGUGGGAGUGGGAUUGGCUUGCGUUUGCUGUAGAAAACAGAGUUUGAUUUGCAAAACCCGCUUCUUGGGUCGAUUGUGAGGUUGUUGUUGUCUGCCAUGGCUGCUAAAUUAUUAAGCAAGAUCUCUCUCAAAUCUAGCUACUGGCUGUUGUGGUUCUUUCUUCUCUUGACAGAAAGAGGACUAUUUAUGCACAGGUCGUCACUCGUCAAAAAAGUCGAUGGUGAUGGCCGACAUUUUUAGCUAAUUAAUUAUAAGUUCGUCCUUGUAGUUUAUCAAAAUUGAUUAAUAAAUCUCUAUAGUAUCAUAAUUUGUUAAAUAGUCCCUUGAUUGAUAUUAAUCAUCUACAAUUAGAGAGAUAUUGUAUUAGUUUUUGCAUUUUGUUCAACCAUAAAGAAAAAAUUAUCUAGUUAAUCAAAUAACUUUUGUUUUAUUUCAAAUUUUGAUUUUGUAAAAGUUAAAAUAAUGUAUUUUUCAUUCAUGGAGACCUACUUUUUAUUUAUUUUGCAUGACUUUAUUUAUUUUUAUUAAAUCUACCAAUUUAUUUACGAAACUCGAUGGGAAUAGAUUUAAAUUUUCAUUAACUGAUAACUUGUAAUCCUUCUAGUCUUAUUUAUAAGUUAAACAAGAUAGAUAACACUUGUAUUAAUUUGUGUUUAAAUACAUUGAAUUAUAAUUCCUAGAUUUAUUAAAUAUAUAUUGAUCUUAUUUCAAUGCAACACUUGUAUUAAUUUGUGUUUAAAAGUAAUCUAUUGAAACGAAUCAAUAAUAAAUUUAAUUGUAUGGAAUUAUUAUUAUUAUUAUUAUUGAGUAAAAUAAUAUAUACACCAACAAGUUAUAAUACUAUCUUGAUGCUAAAUUAAAGUCACCAAGACAUAUAUUAAUGGUUUAAAUUUAUAUUCUAGGAACACAUGUACUAGUCACUUAGAAUAUUUGUGUAAUUAUUAAUAAAAAUAAGGGUACACUAGAUAACUUCAUUUAGAAAAAAAAAAUCACAAUACCAAAACCCUAGGUUUCAAAGCAAUUUAAUGUACGAGGAUAUUUAAGAUUUUCUGAAAUUUAAAAUACCUUAGUUUACCAAACACAAUUUUUUUUUUAAAAUCUCAAACAUCCUUAUACUAAACGUCAUCCAAAUUGGGUUGUUAAUUUUAUUUCAGUUGAUGUUAUAUUUUUUUAAUUCAAAUAAUAUAUAUUUUUUUAAUUCAAAUAAUAUAUUUUAAUUUUAAAAUAUUUUAACUUAUCAUUUCGAGAUUAUACUUUAUAUAUAUAUAUAUAUAAAACUCAAAAUAUUAAUUCAUCAUAUAUAAUUUUAAUUCAUAUUAAAAAAUAAAUUAACUUGAGAUUAUGCAAUAUAAUUUCAAAAUUUAAACAUUUCUAUUUAGCAACUAAUAGAUCGUUGGUUUGCGUCAACUUCCCAAUAAACUCAUUAUUUUGCGUCAACUUCCCAAUAAACUCAUUAUUGAGUGAUAAAAUUAAAAAAAUAAUAAUUUAAAAAAAUAACACAAUAAAAUGACCUAACUCUAUUAGGGUUAACUCACAAAACUCAUGGUUUAGGUUAUGAGAUUGAGAUAAUUUUUUAGAAAACAAAUUGAAACAAAUGAUAAAAUUUGAUUCAUAAUCAACCAAAUGUUAAAGAUGUUGAAUAAUGAAUCUGAUAAGAAUUAUCAAUUAAAAAAACAAACAAAAAAAAACUAGAAUAAAUUUGGUUAACCUGUAAAACCUAUAUAAAUUGAGAUAAUCACGCAUAAAAAAAUAAACAAACUACAACAAAUUAUGAAGUAAAGUCUCUAGUAAACCAACGGUUGAAAGAUUGAAUUAUUAUUAUAUAUAUAUAUAUAUAUAUAUAUGUUUUUUUUUUUAAAAAAAACUAUUCACGAAAUGGAAUGAUGAGAACCAAAAUUUUCUGCUUGAAAUGAUCCAAAAUCUUGAACGAGAUGAAAUUUAUUCUAGGAUAUUUUGUUUUUUCAAACGGGUACAAGAUAUGCUAUUCCAGACAGAUUAGAAUGAAAUUAAAAACCUUCGCAAUAGAAGUGUUUACAGAAGCCAAAUGCUACCGAGUUUUAAAUUCCCCAUUAGUAUCGACAUUAAGCUACAAAAUACAUUGCCUGCAAUUCAUUUUUUUUUGGUAACACGCCUGCCGUUUUGUUGAAUUGCCAGUCAUAUAUAUUCGAGCUGGAACGUACUGGACUCAGAAAUUGUAAAUAGAGAAGAUUGAAAAUCUGCAGAUAAGGUCCAUCCUCUCAAUUCUACUAAUAAAUUGUACAUAGAUUAGAUUAUACACAAGAGUAAAGCUAAACGCAACACAUGCACGUGGAUUCUUCUUGUUUAACGUCGUGCUGCCCGUUCAAGGAAAAUCUUACCAGACAAGAAUUCUUCAACAGGCAAUAAAUAUCCUGAUCUUCGCGUGUUUGCAUCAUCUCCGAACUUAACUUUUUAAUUAUUUUUUGUUAAUCUAUUUGUGUGUUGUUAGUACUUCCCUUUUUUUUUUUUUAAUUGACACAUAUUGGUGGUUUUGCCGGCAUAUAAAUAAAUUAAUUUGAGUUGAUUUAAUCUUUUUUAAAAAUCAAAAUUAUAUUAUUUUGAAUUUUUUUAAAAAACUAACAAGUUUUGAUUCUAAGAGUUAACUAGAUUAAUUUUAUAUUUUUUUUCUUACAUUUAAUCCAUGUUAAAAAUAAAAUAGCGAGGUACUAAAUUCAUUUGUGAAGCCGAGUUUAAUAAUGUUUGCACAUACGAGAGAAGAAAAGAUAUAGAAAAACCAACCAACAUGAAAUGAGAUUAGAUUUGGAUAAUUUAAUCAGGCAUAAUAUACUUUAAUCUAGUGCGAGAUUUAUAUUAUUGUAAGUAAUUCAUGGGUGAGAGAACUAGAAGAUUAAUUAAAAAAACAUGCGAGAAUAUGUUUCUAUCCAUGUGACGAAUAAUGUUGUGCACGUGCAAAUAUUCUGUCCUCUUGCAUGCUGUUUCUAACCGCGUUCUUGUCUGGGACCAAUUACAAUCAGGUCAAUGAUAUGAAUUGUUUGAUAUAACUGUGAUUUUUUUUUAAAUAAUUUUUUUUAAAAUAAUUUUUUAUUAUUAUUAUCAUAUCAAAAUUAUAAAAUAAAAUAAAAUAAAUAUCAAUUUAAUAUUCUUUCAAAAUAAAAAUAUUUUAAAAAAUAAGCAAAAAUUAUAUCAAGCUCCUCUUUAUUUUAUUUCUCAUUGUGAAAUUUCUAAACUGGCCAAAUAUCCCUGAACUUAGAGCGUAACAAAAUUAGUUAAUGCGUUUUUAAUUUUAGUUUUUACUUUUUCUAUAUGAAAUCAUUAAUUUUAGUUUUUACUUUUUUCUAUAUGAAAUCAAGUUUUUCUCCUAUUUUCUUAAAAUCUUGAAAACAAAUUUUGAUAUCAUAAUUUUAAUUCUCCAUCUAGAAGUUUUGGUUUUAAAUUUAUAUAUAUAAGAAAAUGAUUUUUUCAGGCUAUUAAUAUGUGUGUAUAUAUAUAUAUAUAUAAACAAGUUAGGGUAUUUAGGAUACUAUUUUUUUAAUUUAAAACUAAAAAAAAUUGAAUGGAGAACUAAAAUUAUAAUAUUAACUAUCUUUAUUUUGUUUUUAAAAUUAUAAAAUUAAUUAUAUGAAAAAAUAAAAAAUUAUAAAUCAGGUUGAAUAUUAAUGAAGUUAAAGAUAUUGAAAAUUUUUAUUAGCUAUAUGUACAAAAUAUGGAAGGAAUUAUAAAAUAAAUAAGAGGAAGACUUGAUAUAAAAUAUACAAAAAAUAUAAAAUGGUCAAGAAAGAAAUAAUAUGGUGACCUAUUUCUAAUUUUCCAAUUAAUCAAUAUUUUGAAUGAUGUCAUGUUCAUAUUCGAAAAGAAAAUUAAUUUUCAAUUCUCAUAACUACUUUUGAAUUCAAUGGUUGAAGUUAUUUGAGGAGAAAAAUAAAAAUUAUUAUUUUUAAUAUUUAAUGAAAUAUUAUUUAAUUUAUAUUUCAUGAACGUAAUUAAAUAUGAAAGAAUCUCAUAUAAUUCUUUUUAGCAUGAGUGGACGACAUACCAAUAAGAAAUUGGCAUUUGUUAGUCGAAAGAAAGAGAAGAGAAGAGCGUUAUAGUAUUGGAAAGGUCUGGCCCAAACGUUAGGACGUAGGCCCACAUAUUAAAGUGACCCAACCCAAAUAUAAUAUUGGACAGGUUCUAGCCCAUUCGUAGCCUCGAUUAUAUGGGCCCAAUAUUUGCACCAGGGCAAGGUCAGGCGCGGCAUCGGCACACGAAGAAAUUCCGAGAUAAAAUUUUAAUUUACUAAUCUAAAAUCAAACGGCUCUCGGUAACAAAAUCAUACUUGCAGUCCUGGGCACCAAUUGAUCAUUCCAGAGGUAGAGGAGAGUGAAAGAGAUGGCAGGAGGGCAUGGAGAGGGCAUCAAUUACAAAGGCUUGACUAUGCAUAAGCCAAAGCGAUGGCAUGUAGUCACUGGAAAGGGCUUGUGUGCUGUCAUGUGGUUAGUUGUUAUCCUCCAUUGCUUUUCCCCUUUUCCAGCUUCAAACCCUAGAUUUGAUCUUAACCUUGUUUUAAUCUGAUUUUGGUAUAUAUUAAUUUUCCGAUCUGGUUUACUGUUAGCUCUGGAUUGUUGAAUUAAAAAAAAUAAAAAUCAUGGAAUUUUUUUGCUCUUGAUCAGAAGUAAGGAAGCUGACUGUUGGGGUUUUGUUGUAAUUUUUGUUUUCAGGUUUUGGGUACUUUACAGGGCGAAGCAAGAUGGCCCUGUAGUAUUGGUAAGAGUUGAUGUUUUUUAAAGAAAAAUUUCUUUCCUUUAUCAAUGAUUUGCAUUGGGCAUUUAAUUCAAUUGGAAGGGAUUAUGCUGUCUUUUUCAGGGCUGGAGACAUCCGUGGGAGGGCCAUGGUGACCAUGGCCAUGAGAGUGGACACUAGGUAAUUUCUCGCGCAUUACUUUUAUCUUCUUUGCUGAGGAUGUGAACGCAGCGUAAAUAAAUUGCAUCGCUAGUCAGUUUAAGGAGCAACCUCCAAUUGUUAUAGUCUCUUGUUAUUAAUUGGAUUCACAGUUUAUUUAUUUAUUUUAUGAAGGAAUUGAUAGAUAUUCCUGGUAUUCUUUAAAUUAUCAUUUUAGUUUUGUCAUGAAUUGGUUUGCCGAUACCCGGUGUAUCCAAAACCAAUUAUAUUUGUGUGGAACUGCCACUGAUUGUAAUUAAAUUUAAAACUGUUUUUGUCUUGGAAGGGUGUUUAUUGUGUGAAAUAAAAACUGGAGAUCAAUUUGGUGUCCAUUUUUCAAUCAUGAGGAGAUCUAAAGGAUCUGUGUGCUUGCGCUAUGCCAUCGUAGGAAUAGUACUGUUGAUUGAAGGCUAUUAUUUGGAUUUUCUUGGGAAUAUGUGUGGGGAUGUUUGUUUUAGAGCCAUGAUAGUGUUGGUAGAUUGACCUAAAAGGAUUUGUAUGAUUAUAUACUUUAGAUAUGGAGCUUUUAGUUGUGGAUUUAUUGCCAUUGUAAUUAUUUUGCUCCCAAAUUGGUAUUUAUAGGAAAAUCGUGCACUUCUUGUUGAUACAAAUCAGGUUGUCUAAAAUGAUAUCCUCAUUCGAGGCAUACUUUUUGAUCCCCUGCUAAUCUUUUGAGCCAAAGUGUUUUUUCAAAAUCCUGCCAACCAUUAUGUAACAAGAACUUGACAAUCUUCUUUUUUACUUUAACUUAGUGGGCGGUAAAUGGCUGUGAUUUUUAUGAUGAGGAUUAAGAUUUUUUUUUUGUGAAAUUGAUUAGAGGAGAAAAGCAUUAUCAUGGACCCCUUUUAUUCUAUGCAAGCAAAAGUUGUUUACUGAACCUGAUGGCCCUAAGGAUUUUCUUUCACUUCUUGGAAAUUUCAUAUUGGGUAGUCGAAUAUGGUUGAUGUACUUCUCACUUUCAUUGUGCCCAUUUCAAGAAAUGGAUGGCAUCAUGGUUGAUUUUGUGUGAAAUAUUUUGAAGGUAUUCACUGGUGGGGUCGUUGUGCUCUCAUGAUCUGUAGACUGUAGCCCAUUUAUGGAAGUGGCAUGCUGCAACAUCUCAAGCACUGGAUUGAAAAACAAAAAAAUAGUUGUCAAUCUUAUCUUUUAACAAGACAAAAAAAAAAAAAAAAACCACGAGUUAGAAACAAAUAUCAUAAUUUGUCUCCCAACAUCAUGCAUAUAGUUGUUAUUUAGUUUUCUGUUCUUUGCUUAACCUCAGUUCUUCAUUAGAAAGUGAACGUUCAGUUUAAUUUGGUGGUCACUACUUAUGCAUGUCAUAGCUAUUUCUAGUUAUCUGACAUUCUUGACAAGCAUUUUGUUUUCGUCCUCAGAUUUUGUACCAGCAAUUUAUUUUACCAAUAUUAGAAUUUAUAAGGAAAUGGGGCAACCAUACUGUUAUUUUGCUGAUUUCAGGCAUCCCAUUGAAGAAUGAAGAUCAAUAGCCAACCGUAAAUUUAUUUGUCGAUGGGUUGUUGGCCAUGCUGUCUUGAUGAGCCCUGUUUCUUUCUUCGUUUCAAUAAAGUGGUGGCGGAAAAAGAUUCCCGCGUACAUUGAAACCCUUUUUAACAUGCUUCUUUGUGAUCAUGGAUUUUAGUUUGUAUGUAUUCUUCUCUAGACAUGGGCACUUCUCUGUGUAUCAUGCUGUAUCAGUUCAUCCCAGCAUGUUUUCGGUGCCUGGCAAGGUAUCAUUUGCUUUUCCCACUGUUCUCGAUGUAGCAAAUCAUGGUAAAACCCCAGCCUUGUGCUCUAACCCUUCACAGCAUCAAAAUUUCGAACUAUUUUCCAAUGUUUCCAACGAGGUAAUGAUAUAUAUAUAUAUAUCACACUAACUAUUUCCCAAUUGCGCGAUGGAAGAAACGAUUAGAACUAAUGGAAUGCUUGACACGUAACUGCCCUCGGCGCGAUGGUUCAGGUCACAUUGUUCAUGGGCCUAAAUUUAAAUAAAGCAGCCUGGUGUCCAACACUGAUGCUUGAGACACAUAUUAGUUGGGCCUCUGGCUCCUGCAUAUCUUUCCUACCGAAUUUUAAAAGGUCUCCACAGGAUCCAAGUUCAACUAGCAAAGUCUAGACAUCAGAUGCCGAAAUUAUGAAGAUUUGUGUAAAUUGCACGACAGAUUGCAUUUUGCAAGAUUUGGUUGCUAUGUAACUGUAGAUGUCAAUAACUUGUGUUAAUAGUUGGAGUUGGAGUCUCACAAGAGAUUGAUUUGAAUUUUUUUUUAAAUAAAAAUAAAGGGUAUUCAAUUUUUUUUUCAAAUAAAAAAGGAGAUAAUGAAUUGAUGGUUGAGUUUUAACUGAGUUGGUAUUAGAUUAACUGGAUCAACUUAAAUUUUUGAUAAUUUUGAUUGGGUUAGUUGAGUUUUUUUUUCUUAUAUUUUUUUAACUUUGAUUAGUUCAAGUUUUGAGCUGAUGUACCCAGCUAGUCUAAAUUUUAAAAUAAUAGUUGGAGUGGACAAGUUGAAUUUGUUUAUAUUUGUUUAAUAGGUGUAACAAAUCUGGUAUAAACAGCAUAAUUAUUAUGCAAAUCGAAAAAGGAACAUUAACCUAAACAAGUAUUAAAUCUUGUUGUCAAUUACCCAAACAUUUGGAAGGGCGUCAAAUGGGUGAUAGGCUGGCAACUUGGCAUGUCUAUUAACAUUAUUACAACUGCACAUCUUUUUUUCCUUUUUUAAAGAAAAUAAUCCAGACAACAUAAGGGAUGCAUUACCAUGAUAUUUCUAUAACGCAGACAUGGGAAUAUCCAUUUAUUGCCCUGUUCUCAGAUCUCCAAUUUUCUUUCGAGUUUCAUGGUAGAAUAUUAAGCUUCUUUAUUUGAUUGUCGGGUGUCCAACAAGCCUUUGCCUACUUCUUCACGGGUAAUGAUUUUUCGCAUGUUGGAUGCUUGAGCAACUGCGCUGAAAGAGCACAAGCAGCAUAAAUGGAAAAAAGUAGACUGGUCGAGGCAUUCAUGCAUGCCUUCCUUCUUUCUAUUGACACAUGGUUUUAAAAGGCUUUUCUAUUCUUGACUAACUUGUGCUUACGUGAAUUGGGUAGCCUAUAUUCUAGGUCAUGGAUUGAGUUCAUGAAUUUAGAUCAUGUAGGCAAGGUUCCAGCUUAGCUGGUACCGUGGAAUUAAGGAAAUGGUAUUAGUUUUUUUUUUUUGAAAAGUAAAAAGGAAUGUAAUAAAUUCUGUUCAAAUGGAAUAAAAGUUAGGUCAAUCUUUCUCUUGCAAGAAUAAUAUGUGUAGUAUGAAAUCAAAAUUGUAAUAAAAAUUAAAAAACUCAAGAACAAAAAGAAAAUUGAGAGAAAAGUAUACAAAAAAAAAAGUAUAAAAUCUUAGACAAUCAAGGAAUUAAACUAAUAUAAAAAAAUUCUAAUCUAAAUAGAAAUUUUAUUCUGCCGACUAAAUUGAUCGACCGUCUCUCAAUUGGUCAACCACUUCAACUUAUUUCCCCCGGUUGCUUUGUAUCAACCGGUCAAUCAGGUCAACUGAUUUUUAGAGCCAAAGCUUUUAGGUCUAACAGCCAAGCCCGACCCAAGUGAAUUGCAUUUGGCAGCCAUGCCAAACCCAAGCGCCUUAGGUUUGGCGGCCAAGUAACUUGGGUUUUGCUUAUUUGUCAGAUCCAAGUAAAUGUGGAUCCAACACAGUUUUUUGAAUUUAAAAAUAAUAAAACAAUAUCAAAAUACCAAAAUGUUCCCUAUUAUAAUAGAAAUUACACAAAAAAUAGUGUGAAAAAAACCCCUCAUAUACAAGCUUAAUUUUUUUUUGUCUUUUCCAACACCAAAGAUGUAUUUUAAUUAUUUAAUAGUUUGUGAAAUGUUAAAAAAUUCCUAGACAACAGGUCUUAAUUCUGUUAGCCUUGAGGAUAGAAUAAUAUUUUUACUAUGCAAAUAAUCAUCAAAAUAUUACCAUACCCCUGUUGAAACGUUUAAUACUAAUGAGCCUAUGAAAAAUACUGAAAUACUCCUAUAACCAGGGCUUCAAUUUUUUCAAACAAAGAGGAAAAUGAUAGUUUAAUUUCAUGUGAAAAGACAAUAUUAGCUCCAUCCCAAGCCUUCAAAGCUUGAAAAAUCCACUGUGUAUGUCUACAGUGGACCGUGUCUUGGUCCACAGUACACUUGCACGGGGUUGCCAGCCCCACAAAGCUAAAGCUUGGGUCUGACAACCAUGUCAGACCUGUGCCUGGGUCUGGCACCAAACAUGAUUGCUAGACCCAAGGCUCUUAGGCCUGGUAACCCAUGCUAGACCCAAGCAAAUAACAAAUAAAUAGAGGAUAAUUGUGCACUUUAGUUGUCAGGAGAGAGAAAUGAAAGAAAAAACAAAAAACAAUCGAUCACCGGCGGCAAUCCAAUCAUGAUAUGUCUACACGCGCUAAACCAGGUGGAAGAGGGCACGUCUACGCAUCUAGUUAUAUGGUGGAUGGACAAAUUUGAUCAUCGGGAAGUGUCUCACGCACCUCCUUAAUGGCAUGGGCGCCACCUAUUCGUUGGGGUGUGUGAAACACGCACUAGCAACUUUUCGAUUAAAAUAUAAAAAAUACAAUGUGAAAAUACUAAAACACCUCUAUGAUCCUCUUAAUUACACAAUAUACCCAUGUAAAUUUCACUAUCGUAAUCCACAGUAAUCUGUGUCUAGAAUUACAGUGAAAUCUUAACACCAUUUAACUUUAUAUAUAUAUAUAUAUAUAGCGGUGCCUAAUGGCUAGAUUAAUAUAUUUACGUAUGAUAAAUACUUGUGUUUAAAAGGAGGGAUUGCAAUGGUUGAUUAACAAUUUUCAUUUUCAUAAUGUUUACAAGAGGAAGAAGGAUGAGGUGCAGAAGUGGUGAAUCUUCACACCAAUGAUAUAUAUGUGUUGUGAAUUGAGAUUGUAUUGGCAAAGCUCCAGCUUAAGUACUUGGGAACGAAAUGCCCUAUCGUUUGCCCUUCAGGAUUAUGAAAGGAAUAAAAGAAUAAAUUGUGUGAAGAUUCACACAUUUUUAUUUGAAAAGAAUAAAAAAAUAAAUAAAAAGUUACAUAUGAUCUAAUUUCCUCCAAGAAGUACUUAGUGGUCACCCAAUACACCCACGGCAAAGCAACCUGCAAUCCCUUGAAUACUGGUCUGCAGAUUAAUAACGUUAAAGAUAGGCUGAAUAGUUUGCAAGAGGUUAAGGAUAGGCUUUGCCUUCUUAAUUGGUAAGUAUGUUAAGGAGCAGAACCCUUGUCUGGAUCAAACGCCUGAACAUGCACUCUAAUUCAACUUCAAGAUCUUCAACGGCAAUCUCCACUGCCUCCAGUCUUUUAUCUGCAGUAUGAAGUGCUGUUUCGUCACAAAAAUCGUACGAACUCUGUCCACUUGAUCGCAAGAACGUUGACCUUAUAAAAGACCCUUUACUUGAUCCUUGGUCCAGCCAUGGAAUUGAGAUGAGAGACAACAAAGAUUCAACAAUGGUGAUGGUAGUGACUCUCACUUCUCUCAGUACUUCAACAACCACGAUAAUGCUGUGGUCUACAUUUGAGAUAUCUGAAGUUACAGACUUGCCUUUCAUUCCCUUCAGUGAUUUCAGGCAUUUCAUUGUCUCUUUCUUUAGCUUCUUUCUGUAGAAAUUAUAGGCUGCAAUUUUGGUACUAAUAUCUGGCUUGCUAACUCUUUUUCUACGUAAUGUGAAUUGUAAGUCUAGAAGAUGUUCUUUGACAAGCAAAAGAACAUCCUUAGAAAUGCCACACACAUCCAGCAUUCUUAGAGAUGACUCCGAGACUUCGUGAAGCCAUUUUUCUUGUUUCUGGUUGACAAGAACUUGUUGGAUCUCUGGUGAAUGGAGAAGAUCAUUGGCAGAGUUAUGCAAGUCUCUGAGAGCAUUGAAAUUAGGCAGUGCCAUUUUCAACAAAGAAACAAGAACGGUGUGGUACGUACUUUUCAAGAGGAUUAACAAAGAAAAGGAAGUUUUCAAUUUUCAGGCAGUUGGCAAUAGUGACCUGACCACAACAACUCCUGGUUUUUAUAGAAAACCUUGGAAGACAGCCUAUCCUGUUCAAGAUCUCAGAUUUCGAGGAACAGAACAAUGAAGUAUCCUUUGUUGUAGUACGGACAUAGGAUUACUGGCAACAGCUAUGGGGACCAAAUAUGUCCCAGAGGAAGCUUCCAUUCAGAUAGAGGGAGGCAUUGGACUGACUUAAAUCAAAUAUUAUAUUGGUGAUUUAGACUGAUAUUGUCAGGUUUGCAUGCACGGGAGGGAGGUGCCAGCCUGUGUUCAAUUUUGGAAAUUGCAAACCAGACAAACUGUUGAGCUUGAUUAAGACAAAACUAGCCAUUCCUCUAUAAGACAGGAUUACUUACAACUGUAUAAGCCUUUGUUUUCUAUGGACAUGAUCCUAGAUUAGAUUCAUGGUUUGAGUUCCUGUCAUCCUGUGUAAGGAACUUCCAAGAAACUCUUCUGAAGGUUCCUCAUGCCAGCUGCUUGCAAGAAGAUAAAAUGCAGUGCCACAUUUUUUCUCCAGGCAACAUAGUAGUCAAAUUUCUAAUUAGGAAAAUGUGAGUUGAUUAAUUAAUAACAAGGUUAAUUAUUUGUCUUCUUAGUUUUAUUGGUCACAGUACUAGCUUCAAAUAUCACUGGUUAGUGUUACACGAUUGGAAAAAAUACAUAAAUGAAUUUGGUUUGAGUAAAAAAAUAAAAAUAUAAAAUAAAUCUGUUCACAUUAACGUUUUGAAAUAAAUUUAUACCCUUUAAAAAUAAAAAAAAUAAAAAACAUGUUUUUUUUUUAAAAAAAAUUUCUAUCUCAAGAUUAUAACCGAAUAUUAUGAUUUUAUCUACUUUAAGUGUUCUUGUAAACCUAAUAUUGUGUUAAGAAUAUUAAAUUAAUUUAUCUAAUAAUUAAUUUAUUUGCUAUUAAUUAGUAUAGUUAUGGAAUUAAAGAUUUUUUAUUUAUUAGUAUUACUUGUGGUGCUAUGCGAUAUAUAUAUAUAUAUAUAUAUAUAUAUAUAUAUAUAUAUAUAUAUAUAUAACAACCCCUUCAGAUUCUCCAUACUAGAGAAUAAAGUCACUUCUGAAAUCAGCUAGUGAACUAGUUACUUUAGUUUGAUUUUUUUUUUUAUUCAAUAUAUAGUUAGUCAACUUAGAAAAGUUUAUUUUUAUUUUUUGAUAUUUUUGGUCAAAAUUGUGACUUUGAAUAACAAAGAUAAAUAAUCUUUAUUUUUUUUUAAUAGAAGACGGUGAAGACAAGACAGAAAUUGUAAUUGGAAGGCGGAACCCUAAAAGUCUUAAACAUCACACUCAAUUGGUGGUGGAUGAUGGAAAUUGAAGUUAAUUAAAAUACUCUUUUCACCAACAUUUAAGAGCUGAGAUUUUUACUUGCAUAUAUGCCUCAUGUUCAAGAUGUUCAAAUCUGGAAAACCUUAGGUUUCAUAGGAAUGAAACUUAGGUUUAUAAUCUCAUCCAAGACUCAAGUUACAUGUUAGUCAGGUUAAUUCAAGUUAAUUUGAGUAAAUUUAAAUAAUUUCAUUUUAAUUUUUUAAAGUUAAAAUGAUAUUAUUUAAUUUUUUUUAUAUAAAAAAACAUAGUAAAUAAGAGUUUUAAUUGAGUUACGAUUGACAUGCUAAAUCAACUAAGUUAUAUAUUAUAUUAACUUACACAUGAUUUUUUUAAAACCCGGUCCAGACUAGAUUUUAAAUUAAGCUAGGUUUAAAUAACCUUACUAGAUUUAUUGGCAGAAAAAGAUGAAAAAACUUUCCGGCCAACACUUACUAUUUCAUAACUGACUUACAAAAAUCUAAAUCAUGAAGAUGUAUAAUUGAGUUCUUAUGUUUUACUAUUUUUUGCCGGAAAACCAUUUUACUAACACCAAUUUGAAACAACAAACUAGAGGAAAGAAGUACAAAUAACAUGCUGCAAGCAACAAAUACGAAACAAAACAUAAGAGAAGAAUCCCAACAACACAGGGGCGGAGCUGGAAUUAUAUAAUAGAAAGGGCCAAAAAUAUAAGCAGUUGAAGGCCUCGUUUUAAGCCUGCAAUAGGCAUUUAAUCUGUCAACUGCUUUUCCUAUAUUUAAACACAAAAAUAUAAAAAUUUAAAAUAUUUUGCAGGGCCCGGGCCCCUGCCCGCCUCCUCCUGGUUCCGCCCCUGCAACAACAGGAGUCGUGACGGAACAAUGAAGUAUAAAUAGAUCAAUCAGAGAAACGACACACACUAGCUAGAAGUUGCUUAAAUAUUUGAAGAUACACAUAUAUAUGACUCCAAAUGAAGAAGAUGUAGCCUUAGAGUUGACAUCCAAGAAAAUGACCAGACCAUAGCAGAGAUCGAGCAAGAUAUAUAAGACCCCCGAUAUAUAAUUAAGUAUUUUUUGUAUGCAAAUGUAGAGAAGAUGUACUACAUUAAUCUAAUUAACGAAAAGAAAAUAAAAAAUGUUGAAAAAUGGCAUUUUAAUAAUUGUUAAUUGGUCCAACCUAUCUACUUAGCUCUUAAGGUUCAUAUCUUUCUUGCUGCCCUCUCAAGGUAUGCAACAAAUGGUAGUAAAAAGCACUGCUAGCUUUAGGACUCGGUGUCUAGCAUGAUGAGUUAACUUAACAACCUGCUAACUUAGAGCCGGGCUCUUGAUCGAUCAACAAAAUUAAUAUUAUUUUUUUUUAACUAAAAUAACAUGUUUUAAUUUAAAAAGACAACACAAGUCGAAGUUCGGGUUGCCCAUACGACGUGUAACCCCAGCCUUGAGCCGCUUGUAACCAUGGUAGAAAGAUGGAGAAGAGGAACUACAAUAUUGAUAUAUCAUCAAGUUUCAGAAUCCUACUCUUGUCAUGUACGUAGAACCUGAACAUGUAAAAACAUCCGUUAAAGUCUUUACAGCUGCCCUUUGAAAUUUUGUGAAUUAUGGGACGGUGGGUGGGAAUGUUUGCCUACUUGUAAGAAACAUAAGUGAUGUCAUUGUAAAGUUUUAAUUAGGUGGAAAAUCCUCUCUCAAAAAGGGUUCCCUCGAAGUCUCAAGUCCACGCUAUCUCUAUAAUUAAGAAAUUAAAACGAAUUUUGAGGCACCAACCUUUAGACCUUUUGCCUAUAUACAGUCCACCCAACUUUAAUUCUUGCAUCCACUUGUCUUUGAUUUGCCAUAUUUUGAACCAUCGAUCACCAUACGAGCCACCACCAUACAAAAAGAUAAUCAUAGAGACACCUACCACACAUUCGAUCCUUGCCUUUUCUCUUCUUGUAAUUCCCUUUUGUUAGCUUGGUUGCGAUGGCUCAAAAAAAGUUCAAACGAAGGUCAUUUUCUUUUGAACUAAACCUAGAGAAGUUGUACACGGAAAAACCAUUUACACACAUGCCUAAGAUCAACGAACCUAUCAAUAAUUACUAAGUAGAAUAAUCUAAAUAUAUACAGUGAAAAUGAUUAAUGCCCACCUGAGACAACAUACUUUCGCCUACCUCCACGAGCCAUCGGGUUUAAUGGUGGAAUAUGAGAUCAUCACUAACUAUCAUAUGAUUAAGAGAGAUCAUGCUCUCUCAAAUUCACUUUUACAAGUUAAAUUUAUGAUCAACGUGUGUGGAUCUAAGAAUCAUCUCUCGAUGUUAAAACUAGACAUAUGAUAAUCACUCCAAUAUAUACCACAAAAUUUAUACAAUCUUUUCUUGUCUUGAGGGAUUAUUUCCAUGCACCUUUUAAUAUUAUCCACUCAGUAAAACUCCGUUGUGGGAAUUUUCGAUAUUAUCUAUCUGCCGUGUCAAAGGUGAAGGCUCCCUUGCGUGUCAAGUUUCAUGGAAGAAUAAUAUUCUUAAUAUUAUCGACGUGUAUGGAGAUGGAGCUAAUUAAGACUAAUCAAUCUCUUGAAAGGUAGGUUCGAUGUUUUCCUUCUCUCUUUGUAAUUUUUUUUUCAAGAAAGGGAAGGAUACACACACACUCUACAUUAUUCAAUCUUAGUACUUCUUUUUUGUGCUUGACUACAUCAGAAAAUCUCUAUAAUCUCUCUACUCGUGUUGUGUGAAUAUAUGUCCACAAUGAAAUUCCAUCGCGGAGUUGGUGUUUCUGAUAACUUCCACACAAUAAAUUCCAUUGUGGGGAAAACUGUUUUUGAUAUUAUCCAUUUGAAUUAUGUCAAGGUUAAAGGCCCCUUUCACAUGAAGUUUCAUGUAAUUAAGCAUAUUAUUAUUUGUAGUGGGGUAUUAUUUUUUUCUAAUCCUUGACUAAUUCAGGAACAGCUUGGUUGAAAAAGAAGGAUCAUAUUAAAGUAGAAAACGACAUAUUUUAUUCUUUGAUCUAGCUUCUAAUUAUGUCGUAUCUAUGUUAGUUGUUGGGUUGAAGGUCUCACUUGUGUUUGAAUCUCAUGAUAAAGAGAAUUGGAUGUGGGUCCUCGGAGAAAAUCCCUGAGUUCUUGGUGAUUAAUUAUCUUUUUUUUUAUAAAAAAAAUUGAUUAAUUAUCCUUUAGGAUAUGUUGAUUGUAAUAGUUCGGACAAAAUCGUCUUUAAACUCAUAAUUAAACUCAUUUAUUUAGAUUUUAAAACCAAUUUAAAAAUGUUUCAAUUAAUUAUGUUGCAAAAUAGAAAUUACUUCUUUUAAUCUAAAAAUGGUGUAUAUCUUUGCUGGUCCUUCGAGUUAAAAAUCCAUUUCAAUUCUAGUUAUUGGAUUGUCUAUUAGUUGCUGCAAGGUAUAUGUAUCGUGUUAGUUUUUAAUUUUUAAAAUGUUUUUAAAUUGUAUUUUCAUCUGAAAAAAUAUUAAAUUAAUGCUUUAAAUGAUUUUUAAUAAUUUUAACAUAUUUAUAUAAUUAAUUUUGAAAUACUUUUAAUAAAAAAACCCGUUGCACUAAAUUACCAAACAAUAUCUUAUUACAUAGUACGUACAUUGGCAAAGGGCAUCGUCAAAGCUCAUGAAUAGCAACAAAAUUCAAAGAGUUUGAAAGAUACACGACGAUCCAACAACUCCGAGCAUCCUUAAUGCCAUCCACUCCUAUAACAGCCAUACUCCACUCACCUUGUAGGCCCUUGUCUUCCAACCCCAUUUGGCAUUGAUGGCAAAAAAACGUUGACUUUCUUUUUCUUUUUUCUUUUUUUUUUCUUUUUUCUUUUGAACAAGGGAUACAAAAAGGAGACUAUAGCUGAAGAUGCAAAUAUUAAAAUUGAAAAGUAAACGGACUAUGAUGAAUAAUUAGUUUGAAAAGCAGAAUAUUUAUUGCUCCUAUAUAUCCCACUUUAGUCGUUUGGUUAGAAUGAUGAUUAAAGUUAGUGUAUACAAUAAUUAUCUUGUAUCUUUAAUUUUAUCUGCGUGCUUGACCGCACAAAGAAACAUACCCUUAAAUAAAUUGUUUUAGAGUUUUAAUCAUUAGAAUAAUUAGUGUGCAAGAAAAUCUAUUUAGUUUGUGUUGGAUGAGAGAUAAUUUGUGUUUUUUUUAAUAUAAAACAUGUUUUUUUAGUUUUUGAAAAUGUGAUUUAUACUUAAAAGGUGUUGUACUUUUGAAAAAAAACCAUCAUAUCUCCAAGCCAAACACGCUAAUAUAAUAUCAGAAUUCAAGAGUGAAUCCAAGAUCACACUGAAACUAAGAGGGAAAGUUUUUUUUUUCCUACAAGAAAAUAGAGGGAAAAUAUUUAAAUAUUUCUCUUAGAAACAAAAUAUAAAUAAAUCUUAUUCUUAAAAAUCCAACUAGAAUGUUCUUGAGAAUAGAGGACCGGAUUGGUCAUCGCUUAAGAGGGAGAGCCAAUUUUCUGUAUUUAGAGGGUUAAACUUAUAAAGGAAAAAAGGUUUUUAAGGGGAAAAGGAUUCAAUUUUCACUUUUCAGGGACUAAAUUGAAAUUCUACAAGGAAAGGGGACAAAAUAUGCUCUAUUAAUAUCAGUGAGGGGGCGAGAAUUUUAACCUCGGGGUCAGUGCCAUCACUGUCCCCUGGAUUCGUCUCUGCUGGAAUUCACAAUUUGUAUAGCUAUUCGUCCAUUCUCAAGCCGAGAAGACUCUUAAAUAUAAGGGGGUAAUGAAUACAGUCCCAUUUUAAUUUCCAAUACACACAGUAGGCAUUCAUAAAAAGAAAAAUAAAAAGAAAAACACUGUAGGUUUUCAAAACAAAAUUAAAGUUUAAACUAAUUUAAAAGAAAAUAUAAAAGAAUUUGUUAUAAUCAAUUCAUGAUAAAAUUAUUAAAUCCAAUCGCUUCCAAUACUAGUUUAGCUUAUGUUAUAUGCUAGUAAUUGAAUCAUAUUAAUUUAAAAUAAUACUAUUUUAAUAUUUUUUUAAAAUAAAAUUUAAUUUUUAUAAGGUAAUUCAGGUUAAUUUUCACCCCCUAUUUAAUUCAAAAACUCUACCACCGUUUAAAAGUUGGGAUGAUGGGUGAUGGGAUUUACUCACCAAAUUAGGUCAGUUUUAAUAAUAGUGAUUAUUUAGGAAGAUCAGUGGCAUGCCAUGGCAUCAAUUGACAAUUAUUCCGGCCAUCACUUUUGAGAGCACAUCCCUGGCAGAGACAGAGAUAGCAUUAUUAUUUCCAUGCCCAAUUAAAUAAUUACAAUUAAAGUCAUUUGGAUUUUCAAUUUUUCAACCUUUGCUCCUGUGCUCACGUAAGCAUUAUUACAGUUUCUGGAUUUAAUGCACAGUACAGUAAUUAAUGAAAGGCGAGCAUACCUUGUUUGUUAGGUAGACAAAUUUUGCUUAGUUUUACACUGUCGGUGAACAGAGAGGGCUAAAUGCUAAUUCAUUGCAGGCAGCAGCCUUUAACAGAUUGAUUCCUCGGGAAGAACGAUAUGGCUUAAGUUUUUGGUUUCGAACUGUUUUUUGGGCACGGCACGCGGGCUUUGAAGAUCGAUCGGUUGAUAUCUGUCCUUGUGUCAUAUUUGAGAAAGAGUGAAUCUAAUAAAAUCAUAAUACAAGGUCAAAAACAACCCUGAUGAUGGAUUCUGAAUAAUUCAAUUAUCUCUAUUAAUUGGGUUUCUAAUAAGAUCAUAAUUUGCUAAUCAAUCUGCUGCUGCGUUAGCCUUUCUAAAUACGUGCUGAAUUCGAACCUUCCAGUUCUUGGCUAUGAGCUCUCGUGCUUUCAUAACUAGGAUAUGAUUUGUAUCUAUCUUAACAGUUAACCUUGUAAUUAGCUGAAUCAUCAAUGAAGAAUUUAAUUCUAAAAUGACCCGUCUGAGUUCAAGAGACCAGGCUAGUUUCAAACUAGUAAUAACAGCCUACAAUUAUGCCUUGUCUAAUGAACAAAUACUUGUAUUAAUAGCGAAACCCUUACACCAUGUACCCAAGUUGUCUCUUAAGAUCCCUCCUGCUCCAGCGGUUCCUGGGUUGCCUUUGCUACAGCCAAUCAAAUUACAAGUUAACGUACAGUUUGAUUAAAUUAACUGUAACUUGUUUAACUGAAGACCACCAGGACCAGACAAGGAAUUCAAUAAUCAUCCUACGUGUAUAAGAAUACACGUGUGAGAUUGGAUAAGAUUAAUAAUAGUCAAAAGAGGAGGGAAAGGCUACUCACAGUGGUUAUAAAUUCUCGUGUGUGUAAUCAAUAAUGUUGUGUUGCUUUUGCAUCCCUAGUCUAGCUGAAAACUCCAGAGCCGUCCUUUGCUCAGAAUAUAUGCACAUGGCAAAACGCCUUAUGUGAACUGUCCAUUUUUAAUGGAUAAAUUCUCCCAUUUCAAGUUAACGACCAUGUAAGUCUCCAGUGGCCAUCACAUGAGCAACCACAUGGCUCGAACUUGAGACCACAGAGGGAGUAAACCUCUAGAACCAAACCAAAUUUGAUUACCCAUCAGCUAAUUACAACCAAACAUUAAUUAGCCAUCAAGUAUUCUGUACUUUUGCUUGCGCGCACCUCGACUAAUCCCACGGGCCCUGAAGUUAACGACCAUGUAAGUCUCCAGUGGCCAUCACAUGAGCAACCACAUGGCUAAAAAUUCAAACGGACAGUAUUAAUAGUUUUUUUAAAUCAAUUAUGAAUAUGUUAUGACUAGACCAUAUGGAUUACCUGACUUGGUUAUUUAUGGAUUCAUGAGAUAUGGUGUCGCUAAAAAAGAGACUUAUAUUGUUGAGUGAUUGAUCUAAUAAAAAAAUCUAUAAUUUGAAUUAUAUUCAAAUUUAACUAAGAUUUCAAAUGACUAGUUUUAUUUGAGAGUCCAUUGACUAUAAGCCAAGGUAUAAAAAGCCUUCUAUUAGGAUCAUAAGGUGUUAUUUGGGCUUGUUUUGUUGGUUUUUUUUUUUUUAAUUUCUUAGUUUAUAUAGAACUGUUUGUCCUGUUCUGAUAAGACUCUUAUUUAAAUUAGUAUUUUAGAAUUUUAUAUUAUUUAUUUUUUUUAUUCUUUAAUGUUGUUUCUAUAUAUAUACGUUACAUAUCAUUGUAUCUCUGAUAUUUGUAGUGAUCUUAUUCAAUAGAAUUUUAUAUUCUCUGAAAAAUAAAUAAAAAAUGAUUCCAAACUUUACCCAAGUCUCAGGAACCAAAAAUUUUCUGUACUACCAAUACAAAAUUAUUACUGAUACCAUUCAUUCUCAUUGUUGAAUUAAUAAAAAUUUAAUGUAGGUGGGUCACGAGACAGGAAGUAUAGUAUUCUAAUUUUCAAUUAUUUCUCAAGGUCUUGUCCAUGCUAUGGACUACGUCCUUGCUAAGCUGGCAAUAGAGUGCACGUGGGCCGAAACUAGUGGACUAAAGAAUCUACCGGGAAGGACUGAGUGUAUCGUGUCGGCGAUAUUUGGUGAUAAAGCAAAUAUUUCCGGGUUAUGUACACGUGGCGUAACAGGAUUCCAGGGGUGCCCAAAAGUAUCCUGCUCUCCUUUUCCCCCUUUGGAUAUGUCUAUAUAUGGAGCUGAUCCAUCUUUCUCUUUUGGCAUAAUCGCGUCGUCCACCCUUUUUUGGUGAAAAAUAUACAAUAAGAAGAGAAAACACAAGAGAGCCAAGAGAUGGAGGAUGGUAAAGUAGCGGUGAAAUCAUCAAGAUUUAAAAGAGUUUGUGUGUUUUGUGGUAGCAGUAAAGGCAAAAGGGAUUGUUAUCGUGAUGCUGCUCUUGAACUUGGCCAAGAACUGGUAUAGCAAUUCAAAAACCUUACUUUCUCGAUCUUAUUUAGUCUUGUAAGUCCAGAAAUAUUGAGUUUGCUUCGAUUCCAUGUGAAGGUGUCAAGGAGGUUGGAUCUUGUUUAUGGCGGAGGAAGUGUUGGAUUGAUGGGGCUAGUGUCUCAAGAGGUCCAUCGUGGGGGAGGACAUGUAAUAGGGUAAUUAUGAAUAGCUACGGUGCAUGCUUUCUUGUCCACAUAAUUUCAUUUUCUUGUUCGAGUACUGAUCUGUAUUGCUAUGUCUUUGGUUGCUUUCUCCUACAGAGUCAUCCCUAAAACUCUGAUGAACAAAGAGGUAAGCAGAUUAGGAUUCUUAAUCCAUGUAUAGAAACGAUUGUCUCUAGUUGUUCUUGGUGCGUGUUUGUCAUCGUAAUAGCUCCUGUGGUUGUGAUUUAAUGAUUUAAAAAAAGUAAGUUCAUGAACGCGAUGAUUAACCAAACAUUUUCAAGUUUAUAACCAAGACAAAACACAGCCGGCAGCACCAGUACUGAACACUACAGAAACAAAACAUAGCCUUAAUUAAUUUACUAAUCAAGACAUGAUUAAAUGCUUUGUUUUUGGUUAUGUGCAGCUAACAGGAGAAACAGUGGGGGAGGUCAGGCCAGUAGCGGACAUGCAUCAAAGAAAAGCUGAGAUGGCCCGCAAUUCUGACUGUUUCAUUGCCUUACCAGGUACCUGAUCUCUCUCUUUCUCUCUCAAAUAAUGUUUUUUUUUUUUUCCUGAUGGUUAUGUGUUAAUAUUAUAUUAUAUUAAUUAAACUAGGUGGGUAUGGAACCUUGGAGGAGUUAUUGGAGGUCAUUACAUGGGCCCAACUUGGCAUCCACGACAAGCCUGUAAAGCUACUUCAUGUCUUAACCUUGGAUAAGAUUCAAAUUAAGAAAGUUUUGUUAUGCUCGAAGGUCAAUUCCUAACUUAGUUCUUGACAUAUACAGGUGGGUUUGCUUAACGUGGAUGGAUACUACAAUUACCUGCUGACUUUUAUAGACAAGGCAGUGGAUGAUGGGUUCAUCAUGCCAUCUCAGCGUAGUAUUAUUGUCUCUGCCCCAAGUCCCAAAGAGCUUGUUCAGAAACUUGAGGUGGGUUCUUGUGAUCACAUCCUUUUGGUUGAUUUGUGUUUUUUUUUUUUCCAAUUUUUUUACUUUAUUUGGCAGGAAUAUGUGCCUGUGCAUGAUGGAGUUGUUGCCAAGGCUAAGUGGGAGGCAGAACAAAUGGAGCUCAAUGCAUCUUUGCAAACUGAAAUUGCUCGUUAAUGGCAGAAAUUAACCAUAUGAAAAGUUUUUUGUUUUUUUUAGGAUUUUAUUAAAAUUAUGUAGGGCUUUCUCCUUUUCAAUUUUGUAUGUAUUGGUCUAGAAAGGAAGAGGAGAAUUUCCAUGCCAGAAAAAAUGAAAUAUUAAUCUGGUAGCUAGUCUUUAGUUUUAUUGUGUUCUGAAAGAAAUUGGCAAAAGCUGUCUUCUUUCAGAUAAAUCUUCUGUGUAAGAAAAUGCAAAGAACAAAAAAAAAACGUAGAAAAAAAGCAAAAAAAGCAGCCUUUUAUUCUCUCUCGCAUGCCUGUCAUGGUGCUGCGCUCUGCUCUACUGUUGUAUGCGUGUACAGUGAUAAUUAGGAAUGUACAUGCUGUGCGAUUGUUCAUGAGGCCGUACGGAUGGUUGACCCAUCAGAACUUAUUACAAAGGCCAACUCACAAUUGUUAAACUCGGUCCGGCCGGUGAUUCCAUUUAAAAAUCUUCUUUCUCGAUAUACAUUUUAAGGUUAACUAGGAAAAAUAUUAAUCAUGUAAAAUAUAAUUAACUAGAACUCGGCUAAACGAAUUUUAAUUUUAUUUUAUUAAAUAAAACAAAACAAAACAUCUUUUUAAAUUGAUUUAGUCAUCCACUAGCAUAAUUUUCUUAAGAAAUUCAAUCAUAAGUCAUGUAAAACAAUUUUUUUUUUAUUAAUGUGGAUGUCUAGGUCAGCUUGCGCGUACCUUAACUAAUUCCACGGGCCCUGAAGUUAUCGAUUAUGUAAAUCUCAAGUGACUAUGAGGUUUGUAAGACUUGAACUGGUGAUCUUUAAAAAGCAAAUCUAAAAUCUGACCAGUGAGUUACAUCCCCUCAGAAUUAUAUAAAACAAGUAUUGAUUACUUGGUUACAGCACAAUAACAAAAGCCCCAAUGUAUUGGCACACACAUAAAAAGCUUUUCUUUUGUUUUGUCUAAAGACUUUUUAAUUUUUUUAUCCAAUAAUGUUUUUUGAUAUUCGGUAGCUUAAUAUUGAAAGUUACUCCCCUUCUUAUUUAAUUGCUUCCUUUGAAGCUUCUGAUAGAUUCUUUUGUUUCGAGAUAUGUUAUAAUUACCCUCUCUUUUUUUAAGAAAAAAACUUUUUUUUUCCUUCUAAAACACACGACAUAGUGAGAUUCAUUUGCUAGAUAAUAAUAUAAAAUAAAUUUUGACUUUAUUUUAAAUUGAGAUAAUAUUUAAAUUUAAACAUGUUUUAAAUUUAGAAAGCUUUUUGCCUUGAAAAUCAUUAUUCAUACAAUUCUGUCACAUCACUCUCAUCGAUUCUUAUCCAAUCAGGCCAUAAUGUAAAUGGAUCAUGCGAGCUACCACGACAGCGUUUUGUAUCCUCCCUAACUCCAAGAAAUUGCCCAGCAUUCUUGGGUUUACAAAUCCCUUGUCAUCAGCCUUAUCUGUACAAAUAUUAUUUGCUCAUGCAUGACUUCAUCGUCUAAGAAACAAGAGCAUGUUACCACCGGAAACAUAACUCGUGCCGUAGAGAUCAAAACAAGGACAGGAGUCGAUGAUCGUUCCCCACAAACUCAAAACAUCUCUUUCAACAACGGUGAGAAGACAGUCCGGCUAAUUAUGAACGGUCCACAACUCUGAUAACUUUAAUUGGGCUCCCACGUCCGUCCAUCACUAGUCUACUUCUACACCAUAGAUUAGCUAGCUAGUACAUGCACCUGCUAAGGACGCCAGCUAGAAGUAGGUGUCUAAGCUACUUCAAGAAUACAAGUCACCCAUUGGAUCCCUGGAACGUGGACUGCCAAGCGAUAUUGUUUGUUUUCCUUCUUUAAAACACGCUUUUAUCAAUUGAGCAUCAUCUUCAAUUGAGCAUAAUCUUUUUCUUUAAAAAAUGUAUUAAAACCAAGUUCACAACAGUUAGGGAACGUAUGGGAACGCGGCUGCGUUUCCAAAAAAUUUAAUUUUUUUUAUUAAAAUUUAAUAUGGUUUAUAUUGAAUUAGAAAAAGGGUUUGGAUGACAUUAUAGUUGAAUCAAUAUUUUUAUUAAAACAAUAUUGUCUUUUAUUUUCUAAAAAUUCUUUGGUAUUCACUUAAUUAAGUUUGAUGAAGUCAAAUGAAUUACUAAAACACUCGUUAGGUCAACCAUAUUUUAUUGAAUUAAUAUCUUAUUUGAUCUAAUUAUAAAUUUAAUCCAGAUCAAGUUUUGAUUAUCAAACUUCUCAAUUCGAGCUUCCAAACUAAACUUAAUUUAAAAUUAUACUCACAACUUCUUAAUUUGAGAAGUCUAUCCUUGAAAUUAGGGUAACCUGCAAACAGUCUUGCAGGCUAGCUCACAUACGAGAGACCUAAUUGAUACAUGUUAUAUCAUAAAACUACCAUAAUUUUAAGAUAUGUAUAGUCUCAUGCGCACACACACUCAUAACUUCCCUGACUUUGAAAGCCACUUAAAAUGUGAACCCUUUAAUAAAAAGAGAGUACCUUUAUUGACUAAUAAGCAUGAAGAAAUAUUAAUUCAUUAAAUGGUUCAACACAGUUUCUAUAAUGGUCCCUCUUUAUCAUUGUCACAACCCAAACUUCGGGUCCAUAAUUGGCAACAUAGGAGUGGUUCUCUAAGGACACCUAACCUACGCUAAGCCUCAUAACAUACAUAUCAUAAAUCAGAUUAUAUAGAAUCACACAACAUUUCAUAAACUUUCAAAUAAUUCUCAAAACCAGUAAAAAUAAUUAAUAAUUUAAAACACUUAUUACGUUAAAUAAAAUCCAACCUUUUAAAAUAAAUCUAAACUUGAAUAAAAACAGUAUAAUAGUGGAGCAUCUAAAACAUUAAAUAAAAAUAAAUAAGAUGGAAAGUCUCGCGGAAACAAGCAAGUCAUACCAAUCAAAAGCAAGAACUCUCAACAAAAUCAACAUACUAAUAGAAGCUAAGGAUUUGUAAAUAAUAAUAAAAAAGGAGGGGUGAGUUCAACUAACUCAGUGAGUGAAUAACAUUUAAUAUACAUCUUAGAUAUUAUAAAUUGUAAGUCGUAUAUAUCUUAUAUAUACAUGCGUACUAAGCAUAUUAGCAUAUGGUAGUAGAAUACAUGUCAGAUAACAUAUGAAACACUAAGGUUACCAGAACAAAACACCAUGGGAUGAUUAGUUACACACAAGUUGGUGCCUCUCUCACCAGCUUGCUAUGCAUAGAUAAUGUGUACAAAGACUAACUACUUUUUAUUAGUAUGAAGUUUUUGACAAGUAAGAUAUUAAGACAUAAUAGAUAUUCAUAUAAUUAUCAAAGCAACUGAAUGUUAUAUUGAAUAUGAUUUAAUUCAACAUAAUACAAAUAUAUAUUCAAGAGACUGAUGAGUACUUGAUAAUAAAUCAACAUAUAUAGAUAUUCAAGAAUAUAUAUAUAUAUAUAUAUAUAUAUAUAUAUAUAUUCAAGAAUGUUAUACGUAUUUAUCAUAUAAUCAACAUAUAUAACUAAAUGAAGGCAAAAGAAAAACAUAUGUAGAACUAGGAAUUACUAAUGAUUGCUAGGAGGAACAUAAGCAAAACCUAUAAUGGAUAUGAAAAAACACUAAAAAAUAACUUGAAACAGUUAACCUAAAAGAUUACAACUAUAAGAUUUGAGACCAAAAUAUAAAUAUAAAUCCAAAAUAGAUCCACCUAAUUGAUUCUAAACAUGUCCCAAUCUAACCGAACUUAAAAGAACCGAUUGAACCCCACUGCUCAGUCAACCAUUCGAUCGAAAAGACCAAUAGGUUGACAACCGCCUCAAGCUAACCGGAUGGCCGGUUCAAACCAUCCGGUCAAUCGACAACAUCAAGCCAAUUAAUCGGUUAGUUUACACCAACCGGUUGAUUUGGAUUCUAAAAUCUCAAUUUGCCAGUUUUAAAAAAAAUUCAAAUCCCUCAAUUAGUUUGUUUUAAGCCAAAAUUAACACCAUAAACAUCAAUUACACCUCCUAAAUCAUCAUAUAUCAAAUCAAUAUACUAAAUAUCAUAUAAAUUCUAAAACAUUUCUUUAAUCCAUCAACUAUCACAUCCCAAAUAGAAAAACAACUAAAAAAGGGAUCAUAAUACUUACCUACUUCUUCAACCCUUCUUAAAACCCAAAAACACAAGUUUAGAUAUAACUAAAUUCCUUAUUAUUUUUGGGAGAAAAGUCACGGUAGGGGAAGGAAAAGAGGAGAAGAGAGAACAAAUUCUCUAGCAAAAAUUCUCUUUAAAUACAUAAAUUAGGUUGUUAUUGGAUUAUCCUUAGCCUGAAUUUGAUUGGCAUAACAUGGUUCUUGCAAUCAUCGUCACCUUCAAAUGGACCUGUUGGGUACAUAAAAGACGUAUACCUAAUCUCUCAACUUUCUUUAAUUUGCCUUGUCAAACUAGAUAUGGUUCUCCACUCCAAGUCAAUUGGUAGUAUAUAUGAAUCAGUCGUUUAUUAGUCCAAGUGCUCAAAUAUUAACGGCACAUGGUUUGACAAGUUGGCCACCCUUCGAUUUUCUUCUGGUUGGUGCUAAGGCCCUUUCAACAUCUUUUUAAAAGGUGUGACAUAGUAAUGGUUCCUAGAAUAGGACCAACUUAAAGGCUAGGAGUACUAGCCAUAGGGUGGACCACGGUCCCCUCGCCCUCUGUUAGUAAUUUUGUACUGUACGAUAUUGUCCCGUAACAUUGGAUUAUGGCCUACAUUGAUCCAUGUAGACUCGAGGUCUAAGACCCAAAUAGUUACACCGACCGUGACUCAUCGAACCUGAAGGCUACAUUUGCUGGGUGCUAAUUCACCAAAAAGGUUCACUGUUUGGCCAAAUAUGGAGUAGUCAAUCAAUUGCCAUGUAUGGACCCAUCUAUGGUUUGUGAUGUCUAGGUGUAAUCGUACGACUCUAAGGCUAAUAAUUCCGACAGGAACAGCCAACAUUUUCUCUCUCCUUAUCUUUAUCAUAACCCUAUAUUUGAAAUCUGAGGUUCUUUGAAUCCGAUGGGAGAGAGGGGUGAAGGGUUUUUUUGGAUAAAGUUCUUAGAAUUCUAUGAUUAUCCCUUCCUUCGUAUAACGAACUGUACCUGGAAAAAGUAGGCGAAUUUUAAGAAUAUUCUUUUCCAAAGUCAAUUCCAAAAAUAUUUCAUGCAUUAAACGAGUAGUUCUCCAUGGCAGAACCGGAUUUUAAGAAAAUGGAGGCGAAUUCUAAGGUAUAUUCUUGAUUAUGAGUUUUAUGCCUAAUCAGAUUUAAUUUUUAAUCAAAACGAUCUGAUUUUGAAAAACAAAGGGUUGUCCGUCAACCCGCAGGUUGAGCCAAGCAACCCGCAACUUAGAUCUGAAUCGUGUCUUAUAACCAUGUCUAUAUGGUAUCUCUUGAUUGAAGCUAAACAAGUCCAGUUUUGUAAUGAACAAGUGCAAGUUCAGGUCAUUAAGCUUGCUCAAUCUGCUUUGAAAACACUUCUCAGGACACGUUCCAGUGGAUGACGGCCAUUUUCUAUGGAAAACUGCAAAGAGCAAAAGCAAUUAUCUAGGCUGUACAAGUUAGCGUCAAUAAGAAAUUAGGACAGGAACCCAGGUUGCAUUAAUUAAUCUAUUCAAUACAACAAGAACUGGCUUCAAUUUUUCCCAUUAACAAUCUGCUACAAAUAAUUAAACAAGUAACAUUUUUUUAUGGAUAAAUAAAUUAACUGUUAAGAUUUUGAAGACAAGACAUGGGAGAAGAGAGAGCCACGAGCAAUUUAGAUCAAAGGUAUGGUAAUUCAUAUUGGUAUUUUUACAGUUGUCUAUUUCUAUAUAUUUACAACUAUGGCAAAAUUGUCUUGCAAAAUUGUAUUGAAGGGCAGUGAAAGCAAAGCUGCUCCAUCUUGAGAAGAGCAUCAACUAGUGGCUGAGAAUGUUGAGAAUGGUAACUCUGGUUUUCAGUAAUCUCCUGUAAACAGCCUCCAACUCCUCCACUGCUUCCUGAAUGUUUGACUCUAAUGCCUCCAGUCCUUUCAAUGCAUUUUGCACUUGUACUGAAUUGAUGUCUUUGCUCGAUUUCAGGACAAGCAAUUCGGCGUCUAUCUUUUUGAAUUCAUUGAGUUCAGCUUCGCAUGAUACACGUUUGGAUGGAAAUAGUUUUGAAACGACAGACCAGCCAUGGGAGCUUGAUCUUGCCUUUGUCUGAGAAACCAUGGACAAGAGAGAUUGGAAAAUCCCGAGGCUGAUUUCUUUUACUUCUGUCAGCAGGCUGACUGCAUCGACUGCUGAAGUGAUGUUCUUCUCCAUGCUCUUCAAAUUUUUGAAGCAUUUGCGGAUUGUUUUAUCUAAUUGUUUCCUGGACAUAAUAUAAGCUUCAACUUCACUUGCGAAUCCAGAUUCUCCACCUUUUCUCCUCCUGAGAGAUGAUUCAAGUUCCUGCAAGCACUCCUUAAUUGAUGAAAAAACAUCUCUAGUUGUGCUGCACAUGUCCAACAAGAGCAGAGAUCCACUCAACACCUCUUCUCCCCUUUCUUUUUGUUGUUCAUUGGAGAGGGUUUGUUGUGUUAAUGGCAACUGAAGAAAAUCCUCAACACACUCAUACAAGACUUUGAGGCCACUCAAUUUGUGGUAAACUGAAGUAGAAGUUGUUUCUGAUGAUCUCAACCUGUCCAAUUGAUCUUCUACGCUGACAUUUAGAGGGUGAGAUCUUGAGGGCAAGCUGAUAGAGCGAAUGUGGCAAGCAGCCAUCUUAUCCUUUAGCAGAAGAACGCUGGUUAUUGAUGUUGAUACAAUUGAGCUUGGGAGAUGUUGUUCAAGGCAUCUCUCAUGGGUCUAUUAUAUAGACAAUAGGAAAUAACAUUAAGAAAUGCAUGCAUCCAUACUUGCAUUUGCUGUCAUGUGGCCUUUUUCUAACAAUGCGGCUCUCUCUCAUCAUUGUUGUAGUUCAGGAAGCAUAAUGCUAAUAAAAUAAUCUCAACUGUUAAUAUUUUUAAAAUAAUAGUAGCAUGCCUCCUUGCAACCCAGACAGGAAUACGAUCAUCACACCGUAUGAAUAAUUUAUCAGGAAUCUCAUCAUGUGAAAUGUACAGAUCUAAUCUCGCAAUAAAGAUUUUGGAGCUCUUCAUGAUAUUAAAAUGUUAUGGUAAUCAAAAUACUGUUAACAUGAUACAAGUCUGACAUAAUUGUUUCCUGCUUCUUGGACAUGCUGCUCUACAGUAGGGUAUCGACUAACCUGUACAGACUAGAUUAAAGAUGAAACACGUAUAGCGAAAUAGGUGGAUCUUGCUCGAUCACAUGCCAACCAGCUUGUAAUUAUCACAUAUGUGCAUCAUUAACAAAUACAUUUCAUGUUUUGUUGAGCUAUAUCACACGUGCACCUCUGUGCCAAAUUCACAUGCAAAUAAUGGCCUGUCAAGAUUCCAGAUGCUCCCCACCAGGUCUAUCAAUUGGAGCUAUUUCCGAGCCUCACGAUCCUUUUUGUUCUGUACAGAAGCUCGAGCAAGAUAAUUAUGUGUGUUGAAGAUAUGGGUGCCAUCCACUUGUGCGCAUAUAUAUUUUAUUUGAUUCAUAUCCUUACGCAGGGUGUCAUGGCAAUGAAGCAUGAAACAAUUUUGUCAGGGAUCUGAAUAGCUGAUUUUUAUUCAUUUCAUUAACAUUAGAAAAUAGUGUUCGUAGCAAUGGCUUGUCAAGUUUGCCUCAGGAACAGCAAUGUAUUAUGAGAUGGUCUGUGAAUUUCACAGCAUUCUAGCUCAAAGUCAAAUGGAUUCUGAUGUAAUGAAAAUUUUUCUGUCGAGGAUUCAUUGGCACAUAUGUUAAUAUUAGGAUUAUCUUAUAGGAAGCACUCAUCUUGAAUCAUAGCAAUGAUGAGAGAAAGCCGGCCGCUGUCGGAAAAUGCAACGCAUGACAGUGAUGCAAGCCUGGAAUGAUGGAAUCUGAAUUGCGACUCUGUUCGGUAUAUAAUAGGUGCAAGAGGAGUUGGCUUGAACGACUUUGAAGUUGGACCUACAUUACAUAUCCCACUGAUGGAGGCUUUCUUCUUCUUAAGGGAAGAUGGAUGCCUUUGUUGGAGCUCUAUAGCUGCUUGCCAUUUUCGCUCCAUCAGCUUGGCUUCAGAAUCCCAUCCCCUGGCUCAGAGUAUCAAGUUGCAGUUGGAAAUGUUGAGAUCAUCACAAGAAACAUCCUCAUCAACCUGCCAAAGAUCGAGUGGCCUCAAGACUUUAUACUAGUGCGUGGACGAUUUUCUUCAAUCGUCACUCUCCUACCAAGCCCUCUCCAAUGAACAUUGAAGCAUAUAUGGUUAGUUAAAAACUGAAGCAAGUGAUCUUCAAGUCCUUCAGAUACUCGAUGACAAUGGAGAAAAGUGCACAUAGCCAACCUUGGACAAAGAAACCAUCUUGGCGUGUCUGACAAGAGAAUCUGAAGAAAUCAGUGUUGCUGUGUUCGCAUCCCUCUUAACUUCCGUUUCUCUGUCAACAAAAUUAAAGGGAAGUGGCAGCUGGUCUGUUGAAGUCCAAACGUGUAGUUGAUGCCAAUUAAGCAGAGAUGAUCGAUGCUGAAUUGCUUGCUUUGAAAUCAAGCAAAGACAUUAGUUUUCUACAAGUCCAAAAUGCAUUGAAAAUUUUGGGGGCAUUUCAUUGGAGCAUUCAGGAAGUAGAAGAGGAGUUGGAAUCUGUCUACAGACUACUAGUUAAUACAAGAGUCUCUCUUCUGAACAUUCUCAAUCACUAGAUCAUUAACUUCCUCUUGGGGACAGUUUUUUUCUUUCCUGUCAGCUAAUCAUCUGUACAUUGUUAUCAUCUGACAGUAUAUAUAACAAAUACAAAGAAAAACACGCAAUAUACUUGGAUUGUUUAAUCUCAAAUGUUGCCUUCCCUCUCUUUCGUUCUCUCUCUGUCUCCAUAUGAACACUGCUAUUCUUUUUUGGAUAAAUGAAUUCUUCAUUACUAUUAUCUUGAAACAGUAUGAAGGAAUGUAAGCUUAGUGUUUUUUUUGCUAAUAUUUAGUCCUGAAAUAAAUUCACCCAAUCUGAUGAACACACUGAUAAAAAGAUUCUAAACUGUCUUUGCGUAACUGGGAUAUGCAACUGCUGCUUCUGUCCCAGUCUCAGUUUUAUGACUUUUCAGGACUGGCAUGUCUUUCUAAAGUUGUUGGGAAUCCUGUUGGUUCUUCCCCUGUCAAAAUAAAAGCAUAGUUGGCAUACCCAACUCAGGUUUAAUUGGGCUAAGGGCUUCGUAGUGACCGAUUGAUUCAAAACGAUGUUGUUUUAACAAAAAAACUAUAAAAUUAAUAAAAUUCCUUAAAAUUAACCUGGCCUAUUCUAAUUAAUCGGACUAUGAAUUAAUAUCUCAACAUAGCUAAUAUUUAAAGUAAUUUAAUAAAAAAAAUCAGUAUCAAUGAGAUUUAUACUGAUUUAAUCUCCUCAACUUCUUGAAUGCUACACUGCAAAACCUUCAGUCCCUUCAAUACAUUUUGCACCUGUACACGGCUGAAUUUCUUGCCAAUGAGACUGGAGUUGGAAAGGAAUAGAUGAGAUUUACUCUGAAAAGACUAUCCCUUCUUUUUUUCCUUUUCUAGCCAACAUAAAUAUUCAUAUGACUGAUAAAAAAUGAGAUGUAUUUUUCAAUAAAGGACAGUAAUGAUCACUGAGAGACGAGAUAAGAAUUGGAUCCAGGUUCUGAUGAUUUCUCAAGGAAGUGUAAAUUUUCAUGACAAUAUAUUCAAGGAGAGAGAUGGAUGGAACAUGUUUUAAGAUAAUUGUUAUUGCAUUGUAUUAUGUUCAUAGUGAUCUUCGUACACUUGAAUAUUUCUAUAUAUUUACAACUAUAGCAAAAUUGUCUUGCAAAAUUGUAUUGAAGGGCAGUGAAAGCAAAGCUGCUCCAUCUUGAGAAGAGUAUCAACUAGUGGCUGAGAAUGUUGAGAAUGGUAACUCUGGUUUUCAGUAAUGUCCUGUAAACAGCCUCCAACUCCUCCUCUGCUUCCUGAAUGGUUGACUCUAAUGCCUCCAGUCCUUUCAAUGUAUUUUGCACUUGUACUGAAUUGAUGUCUUUGCUCGACUUCAGGACAAGCAAUUCGGCGUCUAUCUUUUCGAAUUCAUUGAGUUCAGCUUCGCAUGAUACACGUUUGGAUUGAAAAAGUUUUGAAACGACAGACCAGCCAUGGGAGCUUGAUCUUGCCUUUGUCUGAGAAACCAUGGACAAGAGAGAUUGGAAAAUCUCAAGGCUGAUUUCUUUUACUUCUCUUAGCAUGCUGACUGCAUCGACUGCUGAAGUGAUGUUCUUCUCCAUGCUCUUCAAAUUUUUGAAGCAUUUGCGGAUUGUUUUAUCUAAUCGUUUCCUGCACAUCAUGUAAGCUUCAACCUCACUUGCGAAUCCAGAUUCUCCACUUUUUCUCCUCCUGAGAGAUGAUUCAAGUUCCUGCAAGCACUCCUUCGUUGAUGAAAAAACAUCUCUAGUUGUGCUGCACAUGUCCAACAAGAGCAGAGAUCCACUCAACACCUCUUCUCCCCUUUCUUUUUGUUGUUCAUUGGAGAGGGUUUGUUGUGUUAAUGGCAACUGAAGAAAAUCCUCAACACAGUCAUACAAGACUUUGAGGCCACUCAAUUUGUGGUAAACUGACGUAGAAGUUGUUUGUGAUGAUCUCAACCUGUCCAAUUGAUCUUCAACACUGACAUUUAGAGGGUGAGAUCUUGAGGGCAAGCUGGUAGAGCGAAUGUGGCAAGCAGCCAUCUUAUCCUUUAGCAGAAGAACGCUGGUUAUUGAUGUUGAUACAAUUGAGCUUGGGAGACGUUGUUCAAGAAACCUCCUCUGGGCCUCUUAUAUAGAGGCUAGGAAAUAACAACUGGGAUGCAUAUGCAUCCAGACUUGCAUUUGCUGUCAUGUGGCAAGGUUUCUGACAAUGCCGACUUUCUCUCAUCAUCAUUGUAGUUCGGGAAACAUAAUGCUAAUAAUAUAGUCUCAACUGAUUGUUAUUAUUCAAAUAAUAGCAGCAUGCCUCCUGAUAACCCAGACAGAAAUAUGAUCAUCACACCGUAAGCAUAAUUUAGCUGGAAUCUCAUCACGUGAAAUGUACUGAUCUUAAUCUCAUAAAUAAGUUUUUGGAGCUAUUCAUAAUGAAAAUUUAAAAAUCCCAUGGUAUUGUUGAAUGAUUGGUUACAAAAUACAAGUCUCUGACAAAGUUGUUUCCUGCUUCCUUGACAUGCUGCUCCACAAUAUGGUAUCAACUUGAAUAAUUAACCACUACGAACACUAUAUUAAAGAUGAACACAUAUGGAAAACAGGUGGAUCUUGCUUCAUCACACAACAACCAGCUUGAAUUAUCACUCAUGUGCAUUCAUUAAGAAAUACAUUCAAUGUUUGAUUGACCUAUAUCAUCAGUGCACCACCGUGUCAAAUUUAGAUGCAAACAAUAGGCUGUCAAGAUUUCAGUUGCUCCUCACCAAGUAUAUUAUAUCAGUGAGAGCUAUAUCCGAGCCUCAUGAUUCAUUUUUGUAUUGAAGCUCGGGAAAAAUAAAUAUAUUUGUAUGGAAGAUAUGGGUACAAUCCACUUGUGUGCACAUAUAUUUUAUUUGAUUGAUAUCCUUGUGCAGGGUGUCAUGGCAAUGAAGCAGGAAACAAUGUUGUCAGAGGCCUGAAUAAGUGAUCUAUAUUCAUUUCAUUAUCAUUACAAAAUAGCGAGUCAAGGCAACGGCUUUUCAACUUUGCCGCUUGAAUAGCAUUGCACCACGAGAUGGUCUUUGAAUUUUAAAAUGUUCAAAAUCAUUUGGUGUAAUGAUGAUAUUUCUGUCUGCAACACAUGGGUUCUUGCUAUUAUGUCAUGAGUAUUUUAUAGGCAGUACUCCUGAACUGUUAUAACUUAUGAUGACAGAAAGCCGGGCCUGUUGAAAAAUGCAACACAUGACUGCAUUUGCAAGCCUGGAGCGAUGGAAUUUGAAUUGAUACUUCUUGUUGUGUAUAUAAUGGAUGCUAGAGGUGUUGUUGGGAAGAUGGUUGCUUUUUUUCUCGCUAAGCCCAGUUUUUUAGUGACAACACCAGAGUCGUUAUGAAAAACCAGAUGGAGUUAUGAGAGGCGUUGCAACAAGGGACAUCUUACAAAGUGUAGUACGCAUCCCUGGAAUGGAGCAAAGAUCAAGAACCGAAACAGCCCGCAAACGAAACUCCUAUCAGAAUCUCAGAGAAUAAACCCCAUUAAAGAUUAGGAAAAGAAGCUAAAACCAAUGAAGCUGGAAGCAGGAAACAUCCAAAAGGAAACAACUGAAAAGGAGUGGUACGCAAUGUUGGGGAUUCCGGCACCCCCAUGCGCGGACCGGGGGUGUACUGAUAGUUGCUCUUCGGAGGGUAAAGCACACUGACACAAUAUUUUACGUGGUUCGGCAAAACCGCCUACAUCCACGGGAGAGAGUCCAUAUUAUUUAGAGAUAGAGAAAGGAUACAAUAAAUACAUGGAGGAGGAUCACUCAACUCCCAGCUCACACACCCUGCUACAUAUGGCAGCAGGGCUGCUGCCCAUGGCAGCAGCUCCUCUUUCUCUUCUUCUCUUCACGUUCUCACACACUCUCACUUCUCUCACAUUUGCUCUCCACAAGACAUGCCUCUUUAUAGGCAUUUCUUAGCACCCUUCUCCAGCACAUGAAGGGGACAAUGGUCCUGAAAUCAUGCCACUAAUUAUGCUCCACUAUCUACCAAGUGGGAGUGGGGUAUUUGCCACAAUAAUGGCAAUUUCCUAACACGCAAUGGAAGACAAUUCAAUUGGAAAGAAAUUAAAGCUUCAUAUCAAAAACUAUUGAACACGCUUUGCAAGAGCAAGCAGAUUCUGCAGAACUUUGAAUAUCAGCUUGACCUGCAAAGAGGAAUGGAACAGCUUGUCAACCAGAUGCAAAAAGAAUUCGGAAAAAACACCUAGAGCUUUGAGUAGAAACCAAAAUUUCUGAUUUUAUUGUUGCGGCAGACAGAAUAACCUGCAGGUGCAAUCACCGAAGGGACCAAUCAUGCUUUGAAAUACCAUGAGUUUCGAGGAACCUUGUCUAUGCAUUCUGAUCCAUCAAAAUCCAGUAAUUGUGACACAGCCAUUCCAUGGCCUAGGCCAUAAUUUAGGAUUGGUGCUGGUUUAAGGUCUCCCAAGAGGGGGCUGCGCAAGUCGCGGCCCUGCCAAGUUCUAGUCUCAAAACUCGCACUAAUUAAGAUGGUUCAGAGAAAUUAAUUAUUCAGUGGCAGAUGGUAAUAAUCAUCAAGAACACGAACAAUUAGCAUGGCUUAGAGUUUGAAGUGCACAUUCAUUUACCAGUCUUGUUGUCUAUAAUUAAAUGAGUGAAGCUAUUCGACGAGCAGUAGAGUUGGGCAUGUUUCAACAUUAAGAAGGCAAUAAGGCUUGCAACAAUAAGUUUUCUAGCAUUUUUCGGCCUCUUUGCUAUCCUUGUCUCAUCAGUUGCUGGAUCACCAGAUGGUAUCCCUGCCCGUGAAGAACACUACUCAAGGCAAUAUGAAAACACUCUAGGAUUGUGGGGACAACAGAGAUCUUGAGCUAGUGAAUCAUUUUGACUUUCAGUACAGGGAAAGAAAUCUUAAAACGGGAAUUGGCAGUACCAGUUAGCAGCUUCUUUCUCACUUGUAUCUAAAAGGUAACAGCAGCAAGAAUUUUAUAAAGGAUCCGCGGUGUUGCCUUUGGAAACUCGAGGACCAGAAGUUGCAUUCAUGUUACUAGAUUGAUUUUCAUGAAAAGAUUGUCACGAGUCUUCCAUUUCUUACUCAUUAGUUCUUCUCCU